rnacentral:lncRNA from 1 species
UAUAUAUAUAGAGGUGUGUGUGCUUUUGGAGGGGGACCACUCUCUCUUUUGUUCUCUUUGAAGAACACUCCCGGCCACACACGCACACACCCCACUUUGGACUAAAUUUUGGGGAUUAAAGGGAAGAGCUCAUUGAUCGUUCAUCCUCGGAGCAUCACGCACCCGGAAAGCAGAUUAUUGGACAUCAAAGGUAGCAGAAAUGGCUUCCCAAAGCACGAACCAAGGUAACGGAUUGAAUUUUGCUGUUAAAUGCAUGCUUAAUUUGUCAACAUGUGAUCCUAUGAAAUUUAAAUUCUCAUCAAUUGGUAUCAGAGCCAACAUGGAUGACAUUUGAGCUGCAAUUUUGGGUUAAUUUUUAGGUUUCCCGUUUCCUGUGGUGGAAGCCAUUUUUUUUGGAUUUUUAUUUCUCGUUUGAUGUUGAUUCUCUGUUUUCAAGCCCGAUUGUUGUUGGAAACUUGUAGAGAAUGUUGUUUGGAGCAAAACCCAUCAAAUUUUGUGAUUUUUGGAGCUCAUUUGAUGAUAUUUCGAAAAUUAGGGCUUGUUUGGUUCUUGCUAUUAUGCGGUUUUUUGUGCAAUUUUUGGGUUUGGAUUGAAGGUUUGAUGUUUUAGGAUGGAAAUCUAUGUAUUUUUGACGAAAAAUGCGUGAAAUUUUGGGCGGAAAAAUUUUUUUUUUCUUCUCCAGAACCAGGUCGUGCUCAGCUGGAGAAGAAGAUGAAUAGUGACGUGAUGACGUCAUCAUGACGUCAUAAAAAAAAAAAAAAAACCAAAUUUUUUUUUUUUUUUUUUUGUUGCCUUGGUAUUCUUGGAUUGAUUGUGCAUAUGCUAGAAUUAUUAUGCAUUUGUUAAAUUUGCCUUCAUUGGGACAAUUAUUAUUAUUAUUGUUCUUUAUGGUAUAAGUUUUCCUUAUAUUAAUAAUGUUGUCCUAUGUCAAUUUUGUUAAAUAUUUCAAUUUAUUGAGGCAAUGAAGCACACUUGUGUGAUUGCCUAUAGCAAUUCCAAGUGUGUCAAAUUGUGAAAAUUAAGAUAUUUUGAAUUUUAUUCAUGACAAUAGUGAACAUAUGUGUGGUUGCCUAUCGUGAUCCUAUAUGUGUCAAAUUGUCUUUGUUGAGAUAUUUUAUCUCCCUCUUUUGAUUGUUUUAUUAUUGUGAUAACUAAGGUCCAUACGGGUAUUGUGAUUGUCCUAUCGAUGAUUAUAAUAUUUGGUAGGAUGCUUGGAUUGGUGAAGGAAAUUAAUUUUAUAUUAUGAAUCGUACUAAUUUUCUUUGCCCUUUCGGUAAUAAAAUUAGUGCAUCUUGGUUGUGAUAUUUAAUUGGUUGUCCUUACCGCCGUGGAAUUUUCAAAAUUCCAAGCUGUUGCUAAAUUGAGAAAUUCUGGAAACUAGCAAAUGCAUGAUUUUGUAGUAACAUGCAUAUUGCUUAAUUUUGCUAUUUUCCAGUUACUAGCAAUCCUGGUAUUACUCUGCAACUGUCUGCCAUCAAACCUCUUACUGGAAUAAUUUUGAGGAAUGUUUUGAGUCUUUCAAUGUGCAUAUGACUAUGCACAUUUUGGACUGGGCUUUGAGAGUUGAUAAGCCAAGUAAAUUUGAGUUCUUCCAUAUUGUGGCACAAUCGCCUAGGUCAUAUUUCUAGGCAAAGAUUAGAGAGAUUGGUUAGAGAUGGAUAUGGUGAGGUGCAUGUUGUCUAGUUCCUCCUUACCAGAAUUUCUGUGGGGUGAAGCCUUAAGGACUGCGGCAUAUAUUUUGAAUAAAGUGCCCAGUAAGUCUGUGCCUAAGACACCUUAUGUGCCAUGCGCAGCGGAAGCGUUGGUCAGGCCCUAUAACCCACAGUCAAAGAAACUUGAUCCUAAAACCAUCAGUGGUUUCUUUGUUGGUUAUUGCAUUGGAUCAAGGGGUUCCAGAUUUUAUUGUCCAUCUCAUACCACCAGGAUCAUUGAGUUAGACAGGGUUGUAUAUUUUGAAGAUGUGAGCUCUGUUGAUGAGAGAUCUAGUGGUAUCUGAAGUUUGAUAGUAUUAUCACCCAAAAUGGUUUUAAAGAAAAUACAGUUGACAGAUGCAUAUAUUUGAGGGUCAGUGGGAGUAGUUACAUAUUUCUUGUUUUAUAUGUUGAUGAUAUACUACUCGCAUCAAAUGAUCCUGACUUGUUGAUUGAGACAAAGCACAUGUUGUCAACCCAUUUUGACAUGAAGGAUCUUGGUGAGGCUUCUUAUGUCUUGGACAUAAAGAUUCUUCGUGAUAGGGCUAAUGGAGUGCUUAAAUUGUCUCAAAGAGCCUAUAUUGAAAAGAUAUUGAAGAGGUUCAAUAUGCACAACUGUAAAUCUACUAAAGCGCCAAUUGUGAAGGGUGAUAAAUUUUCAAAGGCUCAGUGUCCUCAAAAUGAUGAUGAGAAAGAGGAAAUGAAGACCAUUCCUUAUUCAUCUGUGGUGGGCAGCCUUAUGUAUGCUCAAGUAUGUACACGCCCUGAUAUUGCUUUUGUUGUGGGCAUGUUGGGAAGGUACUUGAGCAAUCCUGGGAGUCAACAUUGAAAAGCAGCUAAGAAGGUCCUUAGGUAUUUGCAAGGAACUAAGGACUUAAUGUUGACAUAUCAGCGCACCAGCUUACUUGAUGUAGUUGGGUUUUGUGAUGCUGAUUUUGCUGGCUGCAUAGAUGAUAAGAAAUCCACUACGGGCUAUAUUUUUAUGAUGGCAGGAGGAGCUGUAUCUUGGAAAAGUGUCAAGCAGACACUUACAGCAUCCUCAACUAUGGAGGCAGAGUAUGUGGCAUGUUAUGAGGCUUGUUGUCAUGCUAUGUGGAUGCGAAAUUUUAUUUCAGCUUUAGGAGUUGUUGACUCCAUUUCUAGACCGCUGAAAUUAUUUUGUGAUAAUUCCGCAGCUGUUGCUUUCUCCAAGAACACCAGGAGUAUUUCUCUCUCCAAACAUAUUGAUGUAAAGUUCUAUUUUGUUAAGGAGAAAGUGGCAGAGUCUCUUAUUGAUAUUGAACACAUGUCCACAAAAAGUAUGUUGGCGGAUCCAUUAACAAAAGGCUUACCCAUAAUUGUGUUUCAGGAACAUGUAUCUCAAAUGGGGUUGUUGGAAGCCUAGGUUGUAUUAAGUUAGUGGGAGCCAUUUUUUGGUAUUGUAAUACUAUGUUAUUGUUGAAAGGAUUGCUAUUAUUGUACAUUUCCCUAUGAAUCAAGCAAUGAAGCAUAUAUGAUUGCUUUUGAUUAUUUAUUUCUGAUGAGAUUCUAUGGGACAUUGAUUUAUGAUUAUGUGUAUGUUGUAAUGUUUGAUUAUGUAGUCCAAGUGGGAGAUUGUUGGAAUUUUUAUGUGUGGACUUACAUAAUUAAUUUGAUAAUAUCAUAAAUCAGUGUUAAUUUAUGUUUUUGCAUUGUGGUCCAUAAUGGGACUGGACACAAAUUAUUGCUUGAUUUUUUAUGGGCUCACCCUAAUUCACUUGACUGGCCCAUUAAGUCAAGUCGUCCAACUAAAGUGUGUAAUGUGCAAUAUAUAUAUAUAUAUAUAUAUAUAUAUAUAUAUAUAUAUAUGUAUGUAUUUAUUUGUAUAUAUAUAUAUAGAGGUGUGUGUGCUUUUGGAGGGGGACCACUCUCUCUUUUGUUCUCUUUGAAGAACACUCCCGGCCACACACGCACACACCCCACUUUGGACUGAAUUUUGGGGAUUAAAGGGAAGAGCUCAUUGAUCGUUCAUCCUCGGAGCAUCACGCACCCGGAAAGCAGAUUAUUGGACAUCAAAGGUAGCAGAAAUGGCUUCCCAAAGCACGAACCAAGGUAACGGAUUGAAUUUUGCUGUUAAAUGCAUGCUUAAUUUGUCAACAUGUGAUCCUAUGAAAUUUAAAUUCUCAUCAAUCUAAUAACAAGAGCUAAUCCAAUGGAUUGCAACGCUUCCUUAAUCCUCUUACUUGUAAGUUUUCACUUAAAAGAUCUUUACAUUCUUUAUUACUUUCUUGGAAUUUUAAGGUUAUAUUUAGAAAGUGUUUUUAAAAACACUAUUGUAAAACUGUUUUAAGAAAUUAUUCUUAAAUGUUUUGUAGAAUUGAGAAUUUGAAAUAUUUUUAAUUUGUUUUCUAUAUUUUUGAAUAUGUUUUAAAAAUAACUUUUAUUUAUAGUGUUUUUUAUUAUUAUUUUUCAUAAUUGUAUAAUUAUUUUUAAAAAUAAAUGAAAAUAAUUAAAAAAAUAUUUUCUCUCAAUCGUAUAAAUAUUAUCCAUUUUACACCUAAAUAAGCUUUAUCGACUUUGAAACACAUAUACAAAGUUAAGAAGAACUUAUAUUUAUAUAAUUUCAAGAAUUUUAUCUCACAUCGAAUAAGGGAGAAAAUUUUAAAGACUAUAUAAGUAUGAACUCUUCUUUAACUUUGUAAAUAUAUUUUGAAGUCGUAACCUAAAACGGAUAAUAUUUAAAAUAACAUUUUUUUUGUACUUCUAUAGUGACCUAUUUUUAAGUCAACUCUUUUAACACACUAAGGAAAGGAUUGUGAUUAAUAAUAUUUAAUAUUUAAUAAUUUAAGAUAAUUUUAAGUUAAAUUGUACUUGACUCAGUAAACUAAUUCAUCAAAUUUACUUUUAAUCUUAGGGUAUAAUAUUAAGUUAUUCUAUUAACAAUACUUAACACAUUUGAAACAAUUUUGUAUUUUUAGGUUUUGCUAGAAGGCAAAACUAAACCGAUAUAAAAUUUUUCAAAUGAUACUAUUAUAUUAUAAAAGUUUUAUUAAAUAUAAAAAAUUUUCCCAAAAAAAGUCAAAAUAAAACUUUUACAAGAAGUAACAUUGUUCUAAUUUUUGUUUUAAAUUCUUUUCAAGCCUUAAAUUCUUUAAACAAAAUUAGUCAUACAAACAUAAAAAAAAAUUAUUGACUUAAAUUAACAAGGCUUAGCUUCUUAAAAAGGUCUUAACUUUUUAAAUUAACAUAAAAAUUCUUUCAAAGGUCUUAACUUCUUAAAAAUCAACACAAACAAGGCUUUAAUUUACCUAGUAACUUAAAUUAAGUCAUUAAAUCAAUAACCUUUUAUUAAACUUAAAGGGUCUAAAUACACUUUACCCCUCAAUUUUUAGGGUCUUUUACACUUUACCCUCUUAUAUUCAAAACCCAACACUCCCCCCCCCCCCCCCCCCCCCCAAAAAUUAAAANNNNNNNNNNNNNNNNNNNNNNNNNNNNNNNNNNNNNNNNNNNNNNNNNNNNNNNNNNNNNNNNNNNNNNNNNNNNNNNNNNNNNNNNNNNNNNNNNNNNAAAAAAUUUUUGACUUAAAUUAAAAAGGGGUUGGCUUCUAAAAAAGGUCUAAAUUUUUAAAAUAAAAAAAAAAUUUUUUAAAAAGGUUUAAAUUUUUAAAAAACAAACAAAAAAAGGGUUUUAUUUUCCCGGGAAAUUAAAUUUAGGCCUUAAAUCCAAAACCUUUUUUUAAAAUUAAAAGGGUUAAAAACCCUUUCCCCCCCAAUUUUUUGGGUUUUUUAACAUUUUCCCUUUUUUUUUAAAAAACCAAACCCCCCCCCCCCCCCCCCCCCCCCCAAAUAGUUAAAAAUCAAUAUUUUAUCCCCAAUUACAAACUUUCCAUAAAAUUAUAAAAGGGAUUAGUUUAGCCAAGUGGGUUGAUACUCAUGAGGAAAAGGAGACAAGUUGCUUGGUCAAAAUAUACAAACAAUAUAGUAAAAUUGUUGCAUGUUUUCCAAUAAUUAUAGAAGCAUCAAUGUUAUAUAGGAACAAUAUAAAUGCUAUUGCACAUUUUUAUGAGGCAGCCUAGUAACUUGGACAAGUAAGAAGAAAUUUGUUGUUGCAAGAAGUAGUGUUGAGGUAUAUUUUAGAUCUUUAACACAAGGGACAUGUGAGCUCAUGUUGUUGCGAAGGUUGAAGAACGAAUUGAAACUACAAAGUGAGAAUCCAAUGUUGUUAUAUUUUGUCAAGAGAUUAACAAUUAACAUUCCUCACAACCCAACUCAUCAUGAUCAAACAAAACACAUUGAAGUUUAUUGACAUUUUAUCAAGGAGAAGUUAGAAGAAAGAUUAAUCUUUCUCUCAUAAAGGGACUUCCUUAAGUGAACAUUGAAUGCUUGAUCACCAAACUAGGCAUGAUUAAUAUCCGUGCACCAACUUGAAGGGAAGUGUUAAAGAAUUUGAAUCCUUAUGGAGAUAAAAUCCGUCUUUUGAAGAAUUAGCCGGUAGUUCAUUUGUAAUUAAAACUACAAUAAAUUAUUUGAAUAGAAUUUGUCAGAUAGUUUCCCAUUUCUUUCUACUUUCUUUACUUUGGUAGGUUCUCUAAUUGUAUAGAGGACUUUUUCUCUUCUUUACCAUACAAAUGAAUAUACAAGUAAAAUUAAUCUAUCGAUUUUUUCAAUUGGUGAAGAAAUUUUUUCUUUCUACUUUAACAUCCAUUUUUGUGAAACUCAUUUUAAUGUAGACUCUUUUCUUUAGAAUUUUUUCUAUUGUAUUUUGUAAAAUAUUUUUUUUUAAAAAAAUUAUACUUUAUUACCUCACAUUAUGUAUAAAAUUUUUUAGUUAAUUAAUUUUAUUUUUAUAAUUAAAAUUUUGAAGUUAAACCGAGUGUUAUAUAAAUGUUUCAUGUUAGUUUAUCUUUAAUGGAAGGUAAUUAACUAUUUAGAAAAGUUUUAAUAUUUAUAUUUGGAAAUAAAUUAUUGUUUCAUUGAUGUAGAAUAAAAUAAUAAUAUUUUUUUAUAGUUUCAUGUAACAAAACUAAAAAAAAAAAAUCUAUUUUAGUUUAUUUAUUAAAAUUAUAUUAAAUAAAAUUUAAAUUUUAAUUAAUUUAUAUUGAAAUUGAAUUUCUUUCAAAACAAAGUUAUGCAUUUUUAGUUAUCUAUUAUAACAAAAUUAAAAUUUCAAAUAAACUCUACUUAAUUCAUUUAUAAAAACUAAUUUUAAAUAAAUUCUAAUUAAUUCAUUUAUAAAAAUUAAUUUUUUAUUAUUAAAGUUAUGUAAUACAUUAUUUAACUAUAUAUGUUCUAUAAUAUUUUAUUUCUUUUUCUAUUGCAAUCUUUUACUCUAAUUUAUUUUCCUUGAUUUUGUUAUUAGAUAAUACUAAAAAGAAAAUACUAUAUUUAUUAUUGAAAAAUUUGAGGAAAAUAAAUUAGAAAAAAGAAAAGAAAAGAAAAGAAAUUGGUGAAUAAAACUUUCUUAAUUGAAAUUGUUGAAAAUUUUGAGAUGAAUAAAAUUAAAUUAUUAAUAAAAACAAUUUCCCAAAAAUAUCAAGAAAAUUAUUUUCAAAUUUGUAAUUUUAAAAUUAAAAUUUUUUAACACUUGAGUUUCAGCACCACCACGAACUGAAAUGUCACUAAUAAUAACAAAUUUAUUAUUUAGAAGUAAUUUUUUUUUUCAAAUAUUAAAUUAUUGAUGUUUUAGGGAUUUGUGAGACUUUCCAUAGUAGAUUUUGAGUAAAAUUUUUUUUUGAAAUGAUUAUAAGUAGAAAAUUAAAAUUUUGGAUGAUUGUAAAAAGUAAAUUUCUAAUACUAAAAAAAUUUAUUAUUCAAAUGAGAAAAAAAUUAUUUUUAAAUAUUAAAUUAUUAAUAUUUUACGAAUUUGAUUUCUAAUAAAUUAAAAUUUUAUAUAAUUAUGAAUGAAUAAAAAUAUAUUAAAAUAAUAAUUUUAAAAUUUUGUUUGAUAGUGAUUUUAGUAAAUAUUUAAAAUUUUUUUAAUAUAUAAAAAGAUUAAAAGUUUUAAGUGUUCCAAAAAUUAGAAAUAUUUUCUAAAAAUAUUUUGUUUUUAUUUUUAAUUCUGUGAAAAUAAAAAAAUAAGCACCGUUUAUCGUUAUGUCGUCCAAUUUCUUAAUUAUCAUCACUUUCAUUGUGAGUUAUGACAGCAAAAACACUGCACACUAUUAGGGUUUAUGCUCUGAUGCUUUCUUUCCCACUUUUUGUCCUUAGGGGCUAGGUUUAGGGUUAGGGUUUUGGAUUUCUCAUCCUCGAUCUUCUGCGUAUCUACAUCUUCGCUGCUUUGACCUCUUUUGGAAACAAUGAUGUACGGUGAUCCUCAACAGCAGAUGCAGCAGCAGCAGCAGAUGCAGCAGCAGCAGCAGAUGCAUCAGCAACAGCAGAUGCAUCAGCAGCAACAGCAGAUACACCAGCAACAGCAGAUGCAGCAGCAGCAGCAAGGCGGAGACUUUCACAGGGGCCCACUGCCCCCACCACCGUCUCAACCACAACCACCGCAAUCGCAACUGCCACCUCCUCCGCCGAUGAUGCGCCAGCCCUCGGCUUCUUCCACCAAUCUCGCCCCCGAGUAUCACCAUCCAUCCGCUCCUCCUUAUGACGGUAUGGUUUUUCACAUUGUUCAUGUUUCUGCUGUUUUCUUGGUUCGGUUUGCUGAGAAUGUCGAGGAAAUUAGUAGAAAAAUUGCACUUUGGGUGUUCCAUUUUUAUCUCUACUUUCCGCGGUGUAAAGAAAAUUUUGAAUUGUACUCGAAUUUUUGACAAAAUAUGAAUGACAUAUGUGUCUGAUAUUCCGAAUUAUUUUGGAUAAUUAUGGACUGAGAACACUGCUUUCUUACUUUUCCCCCUCUUUCUCUGGAUAUCUAUUUCUUUUAUUACUUUUAAUUUCCUGGUGUUAUUUUCUUGAAUGACUCCUGAAUCAAGAUUUGUUCUGCAGCAGGUGAGUUCUGAAUCUAAAUUUGUGACUGAGCUACUCCUAGUGGUUGUAUUAGACAAUGAGUCAAAGUAGCUUUUGUUUUCUUAGGCAUUUUGAUAUUCUUCGUGGGGAAACAAAAAUUUUCAAAUUAUUCCCUCUUGAUUUUUUUUAAGCGAACCAGAAAAGAUGGAAUAUAUAUUGUAGGCUUCAUUAAUUUGUAAUAGGCCAAAUUACUCUGAACGAUUGAAUGAAAAGACAGGUUUUAUGAACUUAAACUACAUCACUUUUUCUACUUCCAAACUCACUUCAGAAUUUGUCUGUUUUUCUCCAUAGAUUUUCCAUAAUUUUCAUCUAAGUGUUUGUCUUAUUUUUCAUAAUAAUUUCCAGAAAUCAGUCCUCUGCUGAAUUAUUGUGAAUCCUAAAUUACUUACUGUGCUUCAAAGUGCAUAUCCUUGUGGAGUUGAGCAAGUGUGGUCUUUGUUCUUGCUUCUUAGAAACUACUAAAAUUUUACGGCACUCAAGCAUGCAAGUUUUAGAAUGGUUAAGUUGCCAUUACUUUUCCUUCUUGUUUUGGAUUGGUCAAGUUUUGCUAAUGUUUCUUUCAUUUAUAAAUGGUUAGUACAGCUCAUGCCGAUAGUUUUGCUGCAAAAAGAAUGAGAAAGCUGGCCCAAAGAAGAGCAGUUGAUUAUACUAGCACUGUUGUACGAUACAUGCAGGUAACUGUUUCUACCCUUUUGGACUUAUGUCACUAGUCUUUCUUCAAAUAUAUAUUCAAUCAUUUUUUUUUUUCUGAUAUUGUGGUAAGAAACAAGAUAUUUCUUGAAAUUGCUACAAUUUCAUAUUGGAUAUGUCUUUCAUCUGUAAGGUUCAUGGAGUGCCCCUUUACCUGAUAUUGGCUUCAUUGUUGUUGGAAGAAAAUGAAACAGAAAAUGGACCAGAAUUUUUCUUUCUUUUUCAUUCUUUGUUUGUUUGUAGCACAUAAAUUGUACCUUGCAAUUCUACUUUAUCUAGAUGCAUUUUGAACUUCACUGAUGUGGCUUUCUGUGGAUAAUUCCUUUUACAUCAUUCUGCCUUUUCAGAAUCUUUAGUUUGCACCAAGCACUUCCCAUGGGUGUUGUUGUUGGUCCAUAAGUGAAACAUGCUCCUGCCAUCUUGCUAAUUCUGCUUUCUUAUUACCUACCAUGCUAGACUCUUUGAUGUGCAAAUCCAUUGGCAUGACUAGAGCUUUGAGUUGUUCCUUCUCUUGGAUACCCUGUGUAGCUAGUCAGACUGCAGAUGGUUUGGCCUUCCUUUUUAGGUGCCUUUAUUAAUCCUUAUUUUGCCCAUUAAAAAAACAAAAGAAUUCCUUUGUCAUCAUUAUGUUUUGAUACGGUCCAUGUUUCGGAAGGAUGGGUCAUUCUCCCAUGUUGUUGGAUUGUUUGUUUCUGAUUAGAAAAGGUUUUGAAACAGCGAUCAUCAAACAUGAAACUGCCAUAAUAUCUCAAUUGACCAUGGUUGCUAGGGAUGAUGUUAUUAGCUUGUGUCCAAGAUUACUCUGUAUAAUAUUUUUCUUAUUGAGGCAAUGGAGUGUUAGUGCUAUUAUGGUUGAUAGGGGCAAGGUGUAAGUCUUGAGGCGGAAUGGGGUGUAAGCCUCAAUUAAAGGAAAAAACCUUUAAAAAAUUAAAUUCACAUAAAAAUAGAGAAUAAGAAAACCAUUAAAUUCAAGAAAACUCAUUGUUUUUCAUAAAAGUUUCCAAUUUAGUUCAUCUUUCCCUCUUCCAAAAUGCAACUCUGUCUCAUGAGUCAUGGUUUGACGAAAUUACUCAUCACUCCUGAGCAUCACCAUCAUUAACACUAGUGGGAUCAUGUAAGGAAUCUUUAUUAUAUCUAAUUGAUUUAUCAUCCUCUCUAUCAAUAUCAAUUUCCACCCAUGUUUCUUUUCAUCCACCAAUUGCAGCAUCAUAGGUUUAAGCUUUAAGCAAAGCAGUGGCUAUAAGGAGGCAUCAUUGCGAUUCUAGCUGUGAUUCUGAAGACUCUUGCAGCAAAGUAGUUCUCCUCUGGAAGUAAGAACCCAGCACCCAGGACCCAGGACCCAACAGCCAAGAAGUCUUCUCUUCUCCUUCUAAAUAUCUUUCCUUUCCCCCUCUUAUUUUUUUAUUAUUUAAAAUCAACCUAAGAAAUUGAUCUAAGACCCAGAAAUUUACCCAAGAUCUAAGCCCAUGACUCAAAACUUACAAAAUAGAAUAAAAAAGCCUAAAAACAUUAAAAAUCCAUUGGAUAUGGAGGCCCAAGAAGAACAAAUACUCAUAAAAGUGCCAUCAUAUCUGAGGCUUAAGCCUCAAGGUUGUGUGCCUUGGUAGGGUGAGGCUUAAUCCUCAACUACAGACUUAAGUCUCACCAUUAUUUCUUAAUGCUUCCUCAAGGCAUAAAAUCCUUUUAAAACACCAUGGGCAACUUAACUGGCACAUGAGUGGUCCUAGGCUCAUCUAAUAGGCUAGUAUAGCUAGUAUUGUAUUAUAUUGUAGGCUACCAUCGAUGGUACUUCAUCAUAUUUUAGCUUUAUGCUUUCUGUUGUUUCAUUUAUUACAGUGUUGGCAAGCAUGUGGGAAGGUGAUUGGAGGCACUUGCAUGCAUUGAGAACAUUUUUUUUUUUAAAAAAAAAAAAAAAUUAGAAAGAAGCUAUUCAUUGAUAUGGAUUUUGAAAACAAGCAAAGGAUGAGAAAUCCUUCCAAGAAUACGAAGGGUCCAAUAACAAGGAAAUACUUGGCAGGAGUGACAAUGUAGCUACAUUGAAGGAUGAGACAAUAAAAUGCAUUGAGAAUUUGUAAAGCAAUUGGAAGAUGGUGAGGAAGAAAAUCAUGAUUGGGAUGAUUUUCAUUUUUUCUAUUUCUCUAGGGCUAAGUUUUUGCAGCCUAGCCCACGUACACAGGGAGUAUAGGGGUGGUAGUAUCAUCCUUAUAUUUAUGAGUCUCAGCUCUGUUGAAUUCUUUCUUUUUGCAUGUGGUGGCUCUUUUGUUUUUGUCUUAUAAGCGUGGCACUGUUUUACCUCUGUAUAAAUUUAAUUUACGUUGUUUGUGCUUGGGGUUUGGCCCUUCUUUUUCUUUAUUACUUUAUCAUUUCUUAUGUGUUGCAAAGAGAAGGAAAAGUGACUGAUUCUGAAAAUUUGAAAUAUAUGACCUGUGAAUUCCUGAAUAUUUGUAGUCAGAUCACCAUUAAUAAGUAAAGACAUUGUUCUGGUUUCCUAGUGAAGGCAAGCAUCAAAUAUUGGAAUCCUUAAAUCAACUUUUUUCAUAGAUAGAUAGGAGAAAUAUCUGGACGGUCACAUGCCAAAGAAAACAGCAAAGAUGAAGAGCCCUACAUAAUGGAUUAAGUGAGAAAAGAAAAUCAAAAUUCUUUUGCCCAAAAAACAAAAAUAAAUAAAUAAAUAAAAUCUACAUGGGAAAGCCUCUGGUCUACAGAAAAAAAAAGGUCCAAAUGAAAGUUAUCCUUCAGCUACAAGAUUGGAUUUUCUUCCUCCUGACAGAUUCCUCUGCCAGUUUCUUCCAACACUAUGGAAACAAACAUUAGCAUUGUCUUCCUUAAAAAAUGGAGGCACCCACUGAACAGAAAAAGUGAAGACAGUAAGGUCCAAAGUUCUCCAGCUUCCCAACAGUUGAUAAGAUCGUGGUUUGUUGACUGCUGACUUUUUUUGUGCAAGCACCACCAAUGAAUCAUGUGAAACCUUGCUGCAUCAAGUGGUUAAUGGUGAGGACUUCCCUGAGCUACCUCCAUGCAUAAAAUUCCACUAUGGAGGGAACCACUGGCACCCAUACCUCGUAAGCUGGGGACUUUCUGCUGCCCCUUCUGCUUGAUUCCAGAAACAGUGACUUAAAAGUGAAUCUUUCAUCCCUACCAAGUCUUCAUCUGAUUGUAUCUUCUUUGUUUCCGAGUAUUGCUUGUCAUAGAGUAUACCCAUAAGCUUCACCAAUGCCUCUAAUUAUUACUCUUGUGAGAUUGAAAUAAAAGCAUGGAACCUAUAAAUAUCAGUCAUAGACCUAGCCAAAUCCCAUGUGAUCUCCACAAAGGCAUCGAAGUCAGAUGAUUUGCUAAAAAAGCUUGGAAAUGACCCUUUAAGGAGAACCCCUAACCAAAUUCCCAGUUGGACUGGUCUCUCACCUCCUUGGAGCACUAAUUGCCCACCUCCACCUUGAACUUGCCUAUUACAACCUCUUUCCAAAAGCUCUUCCCCUCUCUUGCAAACCCUAUGAAUCUCAAAAAGUUACUAUCCUAAAAGAAAAAAAAAAAAAAUCUUGUUGUAUAGCGGAGGUUUUUAGUAUUUAGAUCAGGUUUGUAUUUUUGUGGGAAGGAUUCCUCAUCCUUCUCAUGAACUCUUUUAUAUGUAAUUAAUUCAUCUCUUGUUUCUGAUAAAAAGAAAAAAAGAAGAAAAAAAAUUAAAAGCUACGGGUAAUAAUUCUGAUUCAGCUUUAAGACAAGCAUAUAUAUAUAUAUAUAUAUAUAAUUAUUAUUGUUUUUGCUUUUUUUUAAUUAUAACUAAAGAGCCACUUGGAAGGAGACCAUUGAGCAUUGACACUUCCACAAUGGCUUAGAUGCAGAUUUUGGAGCAAAUUUAUCUCAAAGAGAUUCAUAAACAGGGUUGCAGUGGUAACUAUUGGUACAUCUUUAAAUAACUCAAUCCUACAAUCCAUGAUCACCAUUGACAUUCUAUAUAUUAAUAAAUUGAUUUUCAUUCAGUCUGAUUAAGUCUAUCAUAUUUGGUGAUCAUGUUUCAUCAGUCAUUAAUUUUUAUGGAUUUUGGUGGUAGUAUUUUCAUCAGUCAAGGUUUUAUGGAUACUCUUUCCCUGUCUUAUUGAGUUUCUUACAAUAUACAUACAUAUAUACAUAUAUAUAUAUAUAUAUAUAUAUAUAUAUAUAUAUAUAUAUAUAUUUAGAAACAAACAAAUGUAUUAAAUUAAGGAUAGAGAAAUACAAAAGAAGGUUGAGGAAUUCUCCCAAAAUACAACAAACUAAUAAAAAAGUAUGCUGAAGCAUCCAAAGUACUAAGUAAACCUAUACAACGAUAAUGUACCACAAGGGAACUUAUAAGAAAAAAAGUAAAGCACCACAAGGGAAUAUACAAAAAACAACUCAUAGCUCUAGUAUUUGACUAGUAUAGUUUCUUACUAUAUUUUUGACCCCUACAAUUUAAUUUCUUUGCCAUCGAAAGAAAAUCAUGCACUGGUCCUUACUUUGGUCUCUUUUCAUUUUCAGGUGCAUCCAUGUUUCGUUUGAAGCUUGUCUUCACCUGUCCUGUUUUCUUUUAAAGUUUCUAUUGGAGUUUGAAUAACUUGUAGUGUUUGUUUAAUAUUUUCUGCAGAUUCGCAUGUGGCAACGAGAUUCAAGGGACAGGACAGUAUUGCAACCUACCCCAGCUGCAGCAAUUGAUGUUAGUUCAUACAUUUUACGCAUAUUCCAUCUUUGCUUCUGAUGUUGACAUGGUGGAAGAUGGAAGUAGUUUAAUUUUUAUGAUGUAUUGUUUUCUCAUGUGUUCCGUUUAUGAUCUGAGCUGCAUUGAUUCGAAGAUGGAAGUAGUUUAAUUUUUAUGAUGUAUUGUGAUCUCGUGUGUUCCAUUUAUGAUCUGAGCUGCAUUGAUUCGAAGAUGGAAGUAGUUUAAUUUUUAUGAUGUAUUGUUUUCUCGUGUGUUCCGUUUAUGAUCUGAGCUGCAUUGAUUCAUUUCCUGGAUCUUUUGCAUCUUCUGCCUAAAAAAAACAGAACUUUCAUGUAUUGAAAUUCAAGAUUUGGGGCUGCUUGAUAUCACAAUCCAAUUCUGAACACAGAAAUUUUCCAUAAUAAUCAGGGUAAUUACAUUUUCACUGAAAGGGUUGAAAAAUUCAAUUUGAGACUGCUAACUUGUUUCUGAAAAUUGAACUCUCUUCCUUUCUAUGAUUCUGAAUUAUAAAAUCUAAGUUGUCUUUGCCUAAGUUUAUGAGCCAAAUGACAAACUGACCCUUUCAACAGCUUGAAGUCGUCACUCUCACAAAGUUAUAGCUAAAGAAUUUAGUACCAAACUUUCAGUUUAUCAGAAAAAGGGUGUUUGGUAAACCGAAUUAAUUGCUUAAUGAAUUAAUUUAUGUCAUUAACCAAAUCAAUAUAUUUGAUAAAAUAACUUAAUAUUGCAACUUAAGGUUAAAAAUGACUUAAAAGUAAUAAGUUAAAAUAGAUAAUUUUUUCUAAAUCCUAAUUGUCAUUUGUCUUACUAGUUCAUGUUUUUUUCUUCCAUGUUUCUCUCAUAAACUCAUAACUUAAUAUCAGUGAGGAUAGUCAUGUCAAUUUAAUAGUUUAGAAAAACCUUGAAGUGUUUUUUUCCAACCAACUUUAACGCUUCCAAAAAAAAAAAAAAGAGGUAAAUGAUGAAUUAUAGGUUGAUAAUUUGAGUAUAAUUUAACUUAAAAUCAUUUUAAGUUACUAAACAUUAAGUGUUAAGUUUUACCAAACACCACCGUAUUAUCUUACCUCAAUAUGCUAAUUACUUGUUUCGCAGUGAAAUGUUUGUCAUCAGUAUGAUUUUCUUUCUGGUGUUGCCUUAAAUGUUUCUUUUGUGUUUUUGUUGGUGCAGUUGUUGCCAGCAGUUGCUUAUUCAGAUAAUCCAUCCACAAGUUUUGCUGCAAAGUUUGUUCAUACAUCUUUAAACAAAAAUCGUUGUUCAAUUAAUCGAGUUCUGGUGAGUUCAUUGGAAUUUGAUGUUCUUGAAUAUGUAUGUUGCUUAAUUUUUCUUCUCUUAUUUGAGAUGUUAUCCAUAUCCUGUUUACUUCAUUUGAGGUAUUUUGUUGUGGCAUUUUGUAAUUAUUUAUGUUCCUGUUUGCAGGUUCAAGUUAAAAUAUUUUGAUCCUUCUAAGCAAGAAAUAUAUAUUUUUAAUUCUGAUGCCACUUAAUUUGCAGGAUUUUUUAAUUCUAAUUGCCCGUCAAUGCUAGGAUUCAAUCCAUAGCCCAUGUUUAUAUGGUUGAAACAAAAAAUCUGGAAGAGUGUGAGUUAGAUGUUAGAAUUCAUCCAAACAAGUUAACUUUUGACACAUGCUUUCUGGACUCAGAUCAAUUACAUGGUGGGCCAAUGACAAAGGUCUAUAAGACAUCUAAUAAAAUAAAGGGUCUAUAAGCAAUCAGACUGUUAAAAUUCAUGCAAUCAAACUUAUUUUUGGCACUGACCAAAAAAGAUUCAUCUAAUACUGGGUCUUCAUGAAUGUAUGCUUGCACUGUGUGCCUUUGGCAGUUAUUGGAAUCGUCUUUUCCCUUGUGAGGUUUUGAUGAGUCACAGUUUUAAUUUGAAAUUGAGUGGUUAGGUAGCAGUGUGAGGAGAGGAGACAAAGGAAAGGGAUUAUCUUUGAAAUUGACCAGUUAGAUAGGGAUUUGAUGGGGUGGAACCAAAGACAAUGGUUUUUUUGGCUUAAUGCUUGUUAGUGUGUUGAUUUGAUAAUAUCAUCAUGCAGACGACCUUUAGAAAUUGGUUGUAUAAUAUAUUCAAUUGGGCCCAGAUUCUCUGUUUUAGUUAGAUACUCAGAUGGAUUAGAUUUAUAAUGGAAUUCUUUUUUUUUUCUUUUCUUUUUCUUUUUUGGGUUUCUAUUAAGUAAAUGUUUGGUUUUCAUUCUCUUUUGUCAAAUGGUUUUUAGUUAGUGUGGAAUAAUUUAAGCAAACUGAUAUUUUGUUUUAAAAUUUUUUAUUGUUAUGUCACUGAAUUAGUAUGUACUGAAGUGUUAUCCUUUCAAUGCAUUCUGACCCUUGCUUUCUGUCACAGUGGACUCCUACUGGGAGACGUCUUAUCACAGGCUCGCAAAGUGGGGAAUUUACUCUUUGGAACGGACAGUCAUUUAAUUUUGAAAUGAUUCUUCAGGUAUGCCGUUGUAUAAGUAAACUUUCCAUUUCUAGUUAGCAAAGAAAUUGAUUUUCCUUCUGGGGUGUUUGGUGUUGGGUAGGGUUGGUUUUCCUUGUUCUCUGUGUUUCUGCCUUGGCACAUUUUGUAUGCUAUGUGUGUACACUGUUGCAUCCUUUCCUAGGGCUUUUAAUAUAUUCUUGCUUUUUACCUAUCAAAAGAAAAAAAAGAAAAAAAAAAGAAGCGAAAUUAAUAUAGUUUGCAAUGUUUCUUAAAUGUAGGCUCAUGAUCAAGCAAUCAGGUCUAUGGUAUGGAGUCAUAAUGAGAACUGGAUGGUUACUGGUGAUGAUGGGGGCUCAAUAAAGUAAGCAUCUAUCUUAUGCAGCCACUUUGGUUCAAUAUUCUUUUUCAAAAUUCCAUUGAGUGAAAAUUUUUUUUGUUUGAUGUGCUCAUGCUUACGGGGGAUGCUUAUUAGGUAUUGGCAAAACAACAUGAAUAAUGUAAAGGCGAAUAAAUCUGCUCAUAAAGAAUCAGUUCGUGACUUAAGGUAUAUAUUUAUGCAUGUUUCUAGCUAAAUAUUCUUCAUGAAGCUUUUCAUAAUUAAGUUUUACCUUUUUGACCAGCUUCUGUCGGACAGAUUUAAAGUUCUGUUCCUGCUCUGAUGAUACUACUGUUAAAGUUUGGGACUUUGCUCGGUGCCAGGAGGACCGUUCACUAUCUGGUAAUGUGCCUUGAAAGCUUGAUAUCUGAGGAUGAGCUUGCUGUUCCCAAUCUUUGUUUGACAUCAAUAACAUUUUUUUUUCAAUCAGUUGGUUGUGUUAUUGACAUAUUGUCUGAUAUCAUGUACUAUGGAAAUGAUAUGAUAGUGUGCCUCUUUGUUUGUUUGAACUAAAUUCCAAAGCAUGGUCAGUUAUGCUUCUUGUUUGAUGUUGUCAGCAAGAAAUUAGUGGAAAUGGACCUGAUAUUUUGGUCAAGUUUUUAGUUCUUCAUGUUGACAUUUAGACAUGUGGUUUUCAAACUUGGUUGACUUAUUUGGGAUUUGCUAGUGGAGAAUUGGUUUGGGUUAUUAGGCUUGAAUGUUUGUUAGCUGGCUUGUUGUGCAUGAGAAAUUACCUUUCAAAAGGGGUUGCCUUAAUCCUGUGCAUAUUGGUCAAUUUAGCCAUUCGGUCUUAGUAUUCCAAACUCCAGAAUUUGUGGUUAGGAUAUUAGAUAAGCUUAUGAUCAAUUUACCAUUGGAUGGCUAAACCAAUCAGAUCUAUUUGGGGAUGUGUCUAUGCUCAACUUUUGGCAUUUAGACUUUGGUGAUGUGGCUGUGUUCUUCUUGUUAUGUUGUGUAGAAUAUCAUAGAGACUCGUUAGAGUUCAAUAAAGAGGGAUCUGGUUGAGAAAUUUUCUCCUCUGAUGUAAAUCAUUUUAUUUUCAUUAGACAGCAUUGAUCUAGGAGUAUAUGAAAACAUGAUAUUAUCUACAAAAGGGGCUGGUAAAAAUCCUUCCCUUAUAGCAAUUAGGGAGAAAUUCUUAAAAACAGAUUAAAAAGAAGACAGAUUAUAAUAGGCAAGCCACUAACAAAACUUGAGUACUUUUUACCCUUUGGGAUAGGAUCUUCUAUAUUUAUUUCGUCCAAUGUAGUCCAAAACAGCAGAUAAUCUCAUUUCAGUUGAAACUGUUGUAAACCAGUGAAACAGAAAGAAAAGUGGCUUACUUCCACACUGGAUGUCCUCCCUAAAUCUAACUUGUCCCUAGUCCUUAGGCUCCUUACACCAAUUCUUUACCCUAAUUAAUUUAUGCUAGACCUUGAGACACUACUGCAUACUAAACAAUUGAAGCAACAAUGUCCUUGCUAUGACACCUUAUAUGCCUAAUAUGUUACUUUUCACUAUUAUGAGCCUUAAUAGAGUUUCUUGCGAACCUCCAUGGUAAUUUUCAUAGCAAAGUAGUGUUGACAAUAAGAGGCAAAGUUCUUAUUGAGUUAUCAACUUUCCUAAAAGGUAAAGCUAUUAGGAUUUGGGCCCAUAAUGUAUAUCAUGCUCUAACAACCUCCUUCACAUGUGACUCCAUACGCACUUGUAACUCCAUACCCACACGUGGAGAGAUAGAUAGAUGGAGAAAUAAAAAAUUUGUGAUCACAAAUAUAGAAAGAAAUAGGUGGGGGAAGGACCUGAACUCAAGAUCUUUUGCUCACUGGAGUCCUAAUAUCAUGUUGAGUUAUCAAUUUUUCUAAAAGCUUAAGUCGUUAGGAUUUGGGCCCUAGUGAUUCUAGUCCUCCUUGAUAUUCUUUCAAAGUUGAUCAUAAUACACAAAAUGGUACCUAAACAACUUCAUUUGACAAUAACAAUUAUAUAUGCAGCUGAGGAAGAAGAGCUGUCAAUCCAAAGACUUAAGAAUUCUUUUGUAUAUUUCCUUUGGUCAGAGAUGAAACUGUUUAUAAAAGAUGGUCCUUUGACUUUAGUUGAUUUUAUUGAUUGGGUGGGAACCCGUUGAGGGUGGGGUUCGGGCUGCACCUCCGGCCUUGGCAUCCAGCUAGGGAGUGGGGGGUGUUUUCUUCUUUGUAAUCUUUAAGCCGCUGCUUUGGUGGUUUUUUUAAUUCAAUUUUAUUCUUUACUUAUCAGAAAAAAAACAGUUAUAUAUGCAGCUAAGGUCUCAGCCCUGUUAGAAGGGUUGAAAGACUACUUUGGGUGUUAAUGAUUUGCUAGUGGAAGGGCACUCAGCUAUUGCAUUCCCAUUCAUUUCUCAGGGAAAAAGAGAGCGCUGGAGGCUGAAUAUGUUUAUUUACAAAAUUAUAGACAUGUCAAGGUUUUGGGAUGUUUUUUUCAUAGGUUUCUAUGUAUUGGCAAGCCAAGUAGCAGACCAGAUUUUUUUUUUUUUGAUAGGUAAAAUAAGAAUUAAAUUAAAAGCACUUGAAAGUAGCAGACUAGUUAUUGAAUCCUGGAUCCUUGUGUUUAGAGAUAUUUGUUGGGGACUUUUUUUUUUUUUUGAUAGAUAAACGCACAGAAAUAUAUUAAAAAGGGGGCAUGAAAGGCGACCUAGAGUAUACAGGGAGUAUACAAGCAUCACCUACAAAAACCGGAAACAAAAAGGACAAACCCUUACCAGACCUCAACAAGAACCCAACCAGUCCACAAAAUUAAACAGAUAUUUGUUGGGGACUUUAUGCCUCCCUGAGCUGCAUUUCAUUCUAAUCUUUGGUUGGACCUAUCCGAGUUCCUACCUAAGUGUAAUACUCUUUUUUCUUCAUUGUAUUCUUUCCUUUUAUCUUGAAGGAUACCUCAUCCUUCUUGUAAUUACUCUCUUUUUUUUAUCUCCCUUGCUGCUGCCUCCUCACAACACUCCCACAUAGCUGCAAGCCCCUGCCAAAAAGGGGGAUGGUUACGUGUCUUGGGUUGAGAAAUAAAGACACAAAGAGGUGAGCAAACUUGCAGAUAGAUUUUUGUCCCUUCUUUUGGAGGAUAAUUUUUCUUUAAGGAUCCCUACCUCCAACCGAAACUGCUGAUCACGGACCAAUGGCAUGCCCAUGUAGGUGGAAGGAAACUUAUCCACCUUGAGUUUUUGGUUGAGUCCAAGCUUGAAUUUUGGGAUCCUAUCCUUCCUGAAAAGCUUACUGUCAAUGAGAUUAAUUGUUAAUUGUAUUGAAGGAUCCUUUACUGAAUUUGAGGCUUAUCAUCCUAGCAUUGGGUUGAGUAAGUCCAAUAAUAUAGAAAAGGGUAAGCUAACUAUCUUCUUCACCACCGGAGAUCAGAAAGGAAUUGAGAGGAACAUGUUACAUUGUUUUUUUUGAACAGAUUCUUUCUUGUGAAUUGGAUGGAUUCUUCUUGUCUCAUAAUAUAUACUGUAUGUUCUGUGGAGGGGAAUUUAGGGGGGUUGCAUUCCAUUGAUUUUGGGUAGUUGGUAUUUCUUGUGAGUUAUAUGGAGCCUCUUGUCCUGAAAUGUAUGCCACAGGGUUCGAGAGUUCAUUUAAUGUCUUCCAUUAUAUCUUUUUGUCCCCUUUUUUUUUUUUUUUCAUUUGGAUGAUAUGAGAAAAUUACUCAUUACUGCUUGGAGAAUUGCUUCUUUGCUAAGUCCUUCACAGUACAUGGGAUUUGAUGUCUAUAUUAUUGGUGGCAUAAGUGAUUAAACAGUGCAUGAAGUAACCUAAGAGUUCUGUGUACAUGUUUUAAACUCAGGCAGGCCAUGGUUGGGAUGUGAAGAGUGUUGAUUGGCACCCUACAAAGUCCUUGCUAGUUUCAGGUGUGUACUUGUACACCUUUCUUUAAACUUCUUUGUUGAAAUCUUACUGCAAGAUGCAGAUCCAUACUCAUAUUCAAUUGAAUUGUCCUCUACGUAGGUGGGAAAGACAACCUUGUGAAACUUUGGGAUGCUAAAACAGGAAGAGAGCUUUGUUCAUUGUGAGUGCUUUUCCUUUCUUUUCUUUUCUUUUCUUUUUGGAGCAAAACUAUUUUAGUUUGUGAGUCAAAUUAUUUUGAGAAAUUGUAAAUCUCUUUUGCAGUCAUGGCCAUAAAAACACUGUGCUCUGUGUCAAAUGGAAUCAAAAUGGUAACUGGGUGCUAACUGCUUCAAAAGAUCAAAUCAUCAAGGUAAGUAACUUAGCUUUUUCUGAGGCUAUCUUUCCAAAUUGAAAGGAUUUGAAUUUGGACGCUUCUCUCUCUCUCUCUUUUUUAGGAUGCUUAUGCAUUAUUUCACUCUGCUUUUACAGCUUUAUGACAUAAGGGCUAUGAAGGAGCUUGAAUCCUUCCGUGGGCAUCGGAAGGAUGUGACUGGUUAGUGACAACACUUCUCAAAAACUUUUAUGCCUUAUAUGUGAUGUAUAAUGUUGACGGUUGUUAUGCACUUUUUAUUUGUCUCUACUGAUGCAUGUGAAAAUAAAAUGACAUCUGAAGAAAAACUCAGAUGAAUAUAUUGUCUCUUUUUCGCUUGCCUAAGCUAGUUGCAAAAAGGCUCGAAAAACUUCAAAGGGAUUUUCUUUGGGGAGGGGGAAGCACGGAAAGAAAAAUCCAUCUAAUCAAUUGGGAGGUGUGGUGUGUACCCAAAAGGAGAGUGGGGGUCUAGGUAUUCGGAAAAUUGAUCUCUUGAAUAAGGCCCUAUUGGGUAAAUGGAUUUGGCGGUUCGCCUUUGAGGAAGCAUUCCUUUGGAGGAAGGUGAUUGGGGUGAAGUAUGGCCAAGUGGGAUUUGGUUGGAGAACAAAGGAGGCCCGCGGAACGUUUGGGGUGGGGGUUUGGAGGGAUAUCUUGAAGGAGUCGUCUUGGUGUUGGGAUAAUAUAGAGUUCAAAGUGGGAAAGGGGACUAAGGUUAGUUUCUGGACUGACCAUUGGUGCGGAAAUGAGGUGCUGUCCCAAGCUUUUCCCCAGUUGUUUGCUUUGGCGGCCCAAAGGAAUGCCUCGGUAAAUGAGAUGUGAGAUUCUAGUCUUGGUCAAGGAGGUUGGAACAUAAGACUCUCUAGAAACUCUAAUGAUUGGGAGCUGGACGCCUUAGGAGAGCUGUUGCAUAUGUUGAGCGAUUUGAGGAUUUCUCUUGAAGAGGACUCAAUGACUUGGAAAGGAGGGGGACACGGCCGCUUUCGGAUUAGAGAUGCCUACAAGUUGUUGACAGGGCCUAAUGUCAUUACCUUCCCGAAAAAGAGCAUUUAUGAUAAUUCCUAACUAGCUGAUUGCUGAUUUUCUAGAGCUGAUUGCUGACUUACAUAUUUUGCAUUUUCUAACCAAUCUAUAAUGAGACUGACUUUGUAGCUCAUAAAAAAAAUAUUAGAUCCAGGGAAAUUUAAAAAAUGUAAUCCUUGGAUCAGUAAAGAAAGCUGGAAAAGAAAAAUAAGAUUGAACAAGUUAAUCUAGGUUGUACAUGUCGCUGAAAAUAUCCAGGAAUAAAGAUGAUAAAGAGAGGUCUCCUAUGAAAUUCGCUAAAAAGAAAAAAAGGGAAAAAGCAGCAUGUUAUGAUGACAUUCAGACCUUAUGUAAAAGUAAUUUGAGACUGGAAUUCUAUACUAAUCUGUCCCAGAAAACUCACAAUUGGGAAAAUCCUAGUGAAAGUAGAGACUAGGAAAGGAAAUGAUAUUCAGCCACUGUUAAUAGAAGUUCUGAUUAGUCACAAAUGAGAUGUAUCUGUGUAAAUACAAAAUGUUUUUUAUGUUAUAAGUCCAUGAGCUAUGGUGCUUAGGACUCAAAUAUUUUUAUGUUGGUGACCAGUUCCAGGAGUAAAGACAGCAAGGAAGGGCAUCUCCUACCAAUAUUCAUAGGAAAAAGAAUUACUUAUGAUAUGCCUGUGACUUGAAAUUAAAACCUGGUCCAAAAGUAACUUUGAAAACCUGAUUCCAGGAAAAAAUCCUUGUCGAAGUAGUAAACAUAUAUUUUAAGGCAAGACUCAAUAUUUGUUUAUGCUUUGGGUUGGCCUUUGGGCGCCCUUUUUUAUUAAUAUAUUAAUUUUCUGUGUCUUUACCCAUCAAGAAAAAAAAAUUUUGUUUAUAUUUACUGUCAUUUAUAUUUUUGAAAGGAUUUCUCAUCCUUCACUUGUACUUGAAAAUUCAUAUCAAUGAAUUGUUUAUUUUUUAUUUAAGAAAAAAAAUAUCUCAUGUCCUUUAAGGUUACUAUGAAAUUGUUUGGGAAUUGUAAACAGUUUUUUGUUCUUAAAAAUAGAAAAUUGUUUUCCAAACUUGAAACAUAUUUGGUAAUUUUUGAACAGAUAACAGUUUCUUGAGAACUUGUUAUUAAAAUAGGAUUGUUUUUGAGAGUACAUUCUAAUUGUUUUUACUUAUGUUUUGAGGGUUAUUUAAAAAAUAAUUGCAUAGAUAUGGAGAAUGAUUGAAAAUAAAGCAUUACAAAUAAAUGUCAUUUUUAAGAAAUAUAUGGAAACACAGAAAAUAGGUUGAGAAUAUUCCAAGUUCCCAAACAAACUUUUGUCAUUAAAAACAUUAGAUAACUAUUUUUAAUUGUUUUUUUAAUAACCGAGAAACCUUUCAUGGUUAAGUCCUUCAAACUAAUUUAAAAUUUUUUUCCAUAAAUUGUUCUCACAAACAUUCCAAAAUAGGCUCCAUGUUUUCCCUUGAAGUUGUUUUACUACUCCAAACCAUAUUUGGCGUGAGAAAGAUGGAGUGCUUUAUUUAUUUAUUUUUUUGAUAGGUAAAUUUUUGUCCCCAUUGGGGCUUGAACUUGGAACGUGAACGUCCCACAAACCCUCCCCAUCUCUUUACCACUUGAGCCAGGCCUCAAGGGCGAUGCAAUGCUUUAUAAGAAGACAAUAACAACUUUUAGUCACCUGCCAUGUAUCUUUACUUGUCAAAACUAUCUCUAUGCAGGCACCAUUUGCUGCAGCUUUUUUGGAUUGCCUGAAAGCUCUUUUUGACUGCUGAAGCAGUUAGCAUAUAUGUUACACAAAAGCACUUUAAAGCAAAAAAGUCUGACUCUUGGAGCUGCAAAGCUCCUCGCAAUGAAGUUGGGGGCUAUAUGCUUUUGCAAAAGUGCUAUAGGAGGACGUUUCAGAAUUUAAGGCCCUGAUUGGGAACAGUUUUUUGAAACAGUUUUUUUUGUUCUUUAGAUAUAUAAAAAGAAAAAAAAAAAAAGGAAAACACAUUUAACAACCAGAAAAUGGAAAACAAGGCGUUUUUAGAGAACAUUUUUUAGUAGUUUUCACUUGUUUUCUGAGGGCUAUUUUAAAAAUAAAGUACUACAUAUAAAAGUUACUUUUAAAAUAUAUUUGAAAAUAUAGAAAACAUGUUAAAAAUAUUUCAAAUUCUCAAACUGAUGUUUGUUCUACAAAACAUGAGAGAACAAUUUUCAACAACUGUUUUUAAGGACCGUUUUUUUAAAAUGUCUCCCAUUUGGAGGCUAAGUUUUUUUCCCUGAUUAAAUAUGAAUGUCUUUUUUAGGGAAACACCUUAUUGGAAGUUACAGCGCAACUAGACAAGCCUAUAGACUAGUCACCUUCAGGGCGCUACUUGAAUCAGAGUUGACUAUGGAUUGAAUCAAAAUAUGGAAGAGGAUUUGAGUAGACAUGGCCAAGUAUUUGUAAUAAGACACUUUAAGAGUGAUCUUCAAAUUAUGUGACUAGGAGAUUGGCAUAGGUCUUAGUGUCUUAUCAUCAAAAGCAAAAAAAAUCAAAGUAAAAUAAAUUUUGCAUGCUGAUGCUAGUGAUACAAGGGAUAUCUGAUGGGUAUGCGUGAAUUGUUUCAUAGUUUGAGUUACUUCACACUUAAAAUAGGAUCUAAAAUGUUUGAUAUUUUUCUGUAUUUUCCCUAGACUGUGAAUAUAGCAUUCAUGGUUACAUUUUUUGCUACCACAUCUGAAUGAUCAAAAGAAAUUAUUUCUGGGAUAUUGGGUUGCAGAAAUAGGUGUCUCUAAAUAAAUAGCAAUAUCAUAGUAACCGUGUCUUCAAGUUUGAGAGUGUGGUUAGAUUGUGGAUAAAUGUUAUGUGAGACUCCUUCAUUAUGCUUUAACCGUGGACAGUUGUUUUACCUAAUGAAUUUAGUGCUAAAUUGUAGCUGGACAAUUUCCUGAUGGUAAUUCAAUGUAACUCUUGUUUCCAAUGUUUGCAGCAUUGGCUUGGCAUCCAUUUCAUGAAGACUAUUUUGUAAGUGGAAGUUUUGAUGGAUCCAUUUUCCAUUGGCUAGUCGGGUAAUUUCUCUUCCUGAUCAAGGAUAUUCUUUUUAGUCAUGGAUAAAAUUAAAAAGAUGAUUUGUACUCAUUAAUGUAUCAGUUCAUUUUCUCUUGUUUGUUUGCCUCUUCCAUACCUCCGUUUCUUUUAUGCAUCAAACCCUUUUUCAUGUGGAACCACUCAUAUUCUUCGGUUGUUUCCUGGGCAAAACAUGGAACAAUCUACAGCAGAAAUAAAUGUAAAUAAAGGCCGCCGACUGUUGCCAUGUAUUUAUUUAAUCUAAUUGACACUGAUAUGGAUUGAUUGAUCAGAAUUGGGAUUGGAUUUAGAAGUAAGUGAUGCUUUAUGGAGCACAUAUUUUACAUUUAUUUUAUUGGCUUUGGUUUCUUUAUCAGAAUAUAUGGUAUUAGAAUAUGGUGGUUUUGGCUUUGAGUUCUUUAUUGAAUAUGCAUUGCUCAGUCGAUUAUAUUAUCUGAUUUCUAGGAACAUAUCAUAAUGAAUGGAACAAAACCAAUUGACAUUCUAAUAAGAUGACCAUAGUCAUAGUGGAUUAAAAGGCAUAAGACAAACCCUUGAAAUGAAAAGAAUUAUGAAGUUCUAAGAUAAAACCUAAAGGGACUAGCCCCAACCCCUCCUCUAAGACCUCUGAUUUGCUAUUUUUUGCAUCUAAAAGUUGCACCUAGUCCUUGACUGUAUUAUGUCUUAUCCUCAAGUUAAAAUGGGCUUAUGGAUUCUAUUUUCAUGGUGGAUGUUAUUGAUAUCAUUCCUUACUGCAUGUUUAUAACUGCUUUCAGGUCUUGUAUCUCAUUUCCAAAUACAUUCUUGUGAUUUACAGGCAUGAAACCCCCCAGGUUGAAAUUCCUGGUGCCCACGAUAAUAGUGUUUGGGACCUUGCCUGGCAUCCUAUAGGGUAUAUUCUUUGCAGGUAAGCUCUGAACUGAUUAUUCUUGUCAUUUGUGGUUACCUUGUGUCAUUUUUACUGCAUUUUCAGUGUGAUAUUUAGAGAUGCUGCUUUUGGAAGAUUUGUUUUCUACUCAUAAGUGUUGAACUUUUAACAUCUCUUUUACAGUGGCCCUUUUUUGCCAACACGUUUGAGAUUUGGCCAUAAAUCAUUCAAUUGAUAUUCCAAUUUUAUGAAUUGUUGUUUUUUCUUUCUUUUCCAAAGAAAUGUAUUUAUUUAGAAAAUCAAUUUGUUUAUAACCUGCUGUUGCUUAACUGCUGGUGGGUAAACAUUCACAUCUAGCAUAGGGCGCUUUGUUUCUGUUAAUGUAAUUUUAUUUGGAGGAUUCUGACUCAAAAUUCGGUUGACCGUUUCCAUUGGCUUUCAAUAAAUUUCCAUUCAUGAAGAUGGUAACUGACUAUCAAAAAAAUUAAUCAAGGAUCAGAAACUUGCUGGGGCUAUCUCACUAGUUGGGUCCAAUUUAGACUGCUUUAAUUAGUCAUGAGAACAUCAUUCUGAGAGAGGUUGUUGAUAAGAACUCCAUGUAUACAAAGAAAAGAGCAUGUAAAUUUAGUAAGUUUGUUUGACAUUAUUAGUACUGCAUGCUAGGUAACCUUUUGGUAGAGUUUAAGACAAGGAGACCUUGACUUCCUGCAGUGUCCAAAAAAUCUGGUUUAGAAUCUUGGUCUAUUUUUCCGAAUGUUGUAUAUUUGAUUUUUUUCUAUUUUCCAAGAUGUUUAUUCUGCUACCAUCAUCCUGUGGUUAAGGGAUCAAAUUUUUUUGGUUCCCACUGUAAGAUAGAAUCACAAAAUCAUCUGAUAAAAAACAUGAAGACUAUAUCUAGCUCAAAGUAUGACUAGAGUUUGAAUUAUGAAUUAUGUUCAUAGUGGCCUGUACCUCCUUGUUUUGUUUAGUUUUGAAUUUUAUUUUUUCAAAUGCAAUUUCAAAUUUGUUAUUGGUAAAAGGAGGAUCAAUGAUUGGUAAUUGUCAAGACAGUUAUAGUGAUUGGUUGGAGGAUCUUUUAUUGGAUGUUAUGGGCUUUGCUGGGGACUUGGACUAUAAGAUGAAAAGCUUUUUGGUCACUUACUAGGGUCUCAGAUAGGGAACUGGUUUUAAUUUCAAAGAUUUGGUAUUCCCUUGGUGCAAGGGUGGAGGAACAACUGAGUUCCUUAGAAAUACUGCACUGUGGCCAAUCUUCCUACUUACUUGAGUCUCAGUUCCAUGUUUCUGCUUUUGUGGUUAAGAGACUGAGGAGUUGUCUCAGGGAUUUCUGACAGGUUCAGAUGAUUGGUUAAAUAUUGAUGAACUGUGAUAAUUCUCUUCCUGUGUAAACAAUUGGAUUUUGGGGAUCUGGCUAAUCAUUCCUUUUAGGAAAGUUCUUGUUUGGGAAGUGGCAUUGCAGAUUCAACUCAGAGUAGACAGCUUUUUGGAUAAGUCAUUUGCUUUAAAUACAUUACUUGUGAGGUUGAGAUCUUAGUUAGGUUGAAAUGCUUUUCGAUUUACUUGUAUGGGAAAUGUCAUGCUACUAGACAAUGAAGUCAAUAGUUACUCAUGAUUUUAGGUUGGGAAAGUCAGAAGUGCUUACUAGGUUGGUGGUGAGCAAAGAGGUCCCUAAAGAAUAUGCUUCUUACUCAUUUUUCUGUUUCUACUAACUGGAGAUGGUGGCUUUCCAUUGGAACAGGAGAAUGUAGUUUCCUGUGUUGUGAACCAUGGUUCACGUGGCCUGCGGAGAGAUAAGUUCUUGAUCUUGUCUCUAUGAUUGAUGAUCAGCCCUAUACAUAGUUUGCAGUUCAAAUAUCUUUGUCACAAUCUUCUUUUUUGGACUAAGUGUGAUACAACAUUCCUUCCUAUUCACAGUUCUUGUGAUUUGUGGUUUCUUCCAUUUUAAGGCCUGUUAAUUUGAAAUGUUUAAUUUUCAAGUUCUAUCAAUUGCUGUGCUGUUCCGGCUUUACUUUCCUGUAUAGCAUCUAAUGGUUGCUUUUAUUCAGUCUAUGUAGCAUUAUUGUGGUAGACAAUGCAUGGAAGUUUUAAGUUCUUCUGUGUUAAUCUCUAUUGUGCUUAGGCCACUCCUCAAGUUACUAAACUUCUAGUUUCUCAUGCAGUGGAAGCAAUGAUCAUACAACGAAAUUUUGGUGUAGAAAUAGGCCAGGAGAUACCGUUCGUGAUAAAUUCAACAUGGGGCACAACCAAGGUGGUUAUUAUAUUCUCCUGAUCACUUCAUGGUAUUUCUUUUAAGCCAAGUUCAAAUUCUCUACAGUUCAACUUGUUGGAUUCUAUAACCAAAUGGAUUAUGCUCAGGAGUAUUUUUUACUCUGGAGAUCCACUUGAAUAUCCCAUAUAUCUUCUGCUUUGGUUUGUGUAGUUCCUACAAACUUCUAUGCGUUGAACUGUAAAGUAUUUGAAAUUGUUAAAAUCGUUAUUCAGAACUGGAAUUUUAUUAUUUUUAAGUUCAUUAAUCUGUGCUAGGUUAUGGUGAUCAAAACCCUGCACUUGGUGGUCGCAUGCCUGGUAAUUUCCCGGUACCUGAAACCCCAACAACUCCGGGUCCAUUUGCAGCUGGAUUGACCCGAAACGAGGGAACCAUUCCAGGUGUUGGAGUUGCAAUGCCAUUAACUAUCCCAUCUCUUGAUACAUCAGCUCAAGGAGAGCAGAAGCAGCCUCUUCCUGUUUCAAUUCCUUUAGGGGCACCUCCUCUUCCGCCUGGUCCUCACCCAUCCCUUCUUGCGGCCAACCAGCAGCAGGCAUAUCAACAAAAUCCUCCUCAAAUGCCACAACACCACCAGGCACUCCCACAGCAAAUGCCGCCUUUGCCUCUGCAGCCACCAAAUAUGUCACAGCUACAGCCUCCUUCCCAUUUACCCCUGCUACCACAUCCUCACUUACCUCGCCCUCCCCAGUUGCCCCCAAUGGGCAUGCCUUCAAAUAUUCCGUCUUCUAUGCCAGGAUCCUUGCCCAUGCCUUCAAUGCCCACAUCACUUCCACUGCAGAUGCCUGCUCCAAUGGUACUAAGCUGUGUGCAACUCUAAUUUUUAUUUAAUUUUGUAUGAUAUUUUCUCUUGGACUGGGCUACCUUUGACUGCUUAGUUUUUCUGCUUUUAUGGUCAAUGUGACUCUAAGGUUCAGUUCCUAUGAUGUAUCAGGAAUUUGUUCUUUUUCCUUGUUGUGGCCACCCGUUGGCUACAUAUCUUGAUCAAUUGGCAUGUUGAGCACAUAUCUCGUACACAAACAUUGUCAUGCCAUAUUUGUAUGCCAUAUCCUGUACCAAAACUCUAAUUUUUAUUUAUUUUUAUCUAAUUUUGUAUGCUAUUUUUCUCUUGGGCAGGGUUAACUUUGAUUGCUCAGUUUUUAUGCUUUUAUGGUCAAUGUGACUCCACGGUUCCUAUGAUGUAUCGGGGAUUUGUUCUUUUUCUUUGUUGUGGCCACCUGUUGGCUAUGUCUUGAUCAAUUGGCAUGUUGAGCACAUAUCUUGUACCCAAACAUUAUCAUGCCAUAUUUGACACGUAUUUCAUUUACAUUUGAAGUGUGCAUGUGACAUAGCUUUUCAGUGAAAUGGAGGACAUGCUCCUCCAUAUUGUGCUCAUGCCAGCUGCUGUUGAAAACUGUAUAGUGAAGAAGUGGAGGUAAAUCAAACAUUUUUCAGUUAAGCGCCCUUUAUGCAGAGGGACAUGCUCGGCCUUUCAUGAAAGAGUGUGUAAUUUUCUAGUGAAAUGUGCUAGUUUAGGGCCCCAAUUUGGGCAUAGUUACUGAUUGCCUUUUUAAAUUUAAAUUUGUUUAAUUAUUUAUUUUUUAAAUAACAAAAAGGUCAAUGGCAGAAAAUAUGUUUGGUGAGGCUCUAUAGUUUUCUUCUUUUAAGAGAUGAGUAUUGAAAUUGAAAGUUUAUGGAACAAAAACUUAAUGUUUCUAGGGGCAAAAAGAGAAAUAAAAAAAACAUGUAAUCCAAGUGGCAAUGCAUGUGACUUACUUGAGUUGUUGUUCAUUGAUGAUACUUUAGUCUUCUGUGAGCCUUCUCUAGAUCAAUUGACUUAUUAGAGUUGGUUACUUAUGUGGUUUGAGGCAAUGUCAAUGUUUAGGGUAAAAAAGUGAGCUGAUUUGUAUAGGGAGAGUGGAGAAUUUAGAAGAGUUGGCUCCAGAGUUUGGUUGCAAGAUUGGUGAGCUCCAGUCUUCUUACUUAGGCCUUCCCUUGGGUGCUCAGUUUAACUUUGUGGCAGUUUGGGAAUGUGUGGAGGAGAGGUUUUAAAAAGGAUUAUCAUUAUGGAAAAGACGAUAUAUUUCCAAAGGGACUAGGCUUACCCUAAUCUGUAGUAGUCUCUCUAGCAUGCCAAUUUGUUUUAUGUUCUUAUUUUGUAUUCCUAGGAAAGUCAGACUGAGGGUGGAAUAAAUUCAAAAGGAUCUUCUUUGGGGAGGAGGGACCCUUGAGUGGAAACCUCAUUUAGUAAGAUGAUCUAUUGUCUGCUAAAAAAAAGAAAGGGUGGUUUGGGGUGGCCUAGGGGUUAGGAAUUUGUUGUUCCUAAACAAGAUCUUCCUGUGCAAAUGGAGUUAGUGUUUUGCAAAGGAGAGGGUGGCACUCUUGCAAAGUGAAAGAGAGGUGGUAUGAGGUAGGGUUGUGGAAAGUCAUCAUGAAAGAUUGGGAUAUUUUGAGGUGUAGUAUGACCUUUUCUGUGCGUAAAGAGAGGAGGGUGAGAUUUUGGAAGGAUAAGUGGUGUGGUGAUAAACUAUUGUGCACUUCUUUUCCCUCCUUAUUUGCUAUUGCUUCGUCCAAGGAGGCUUGGAUGGAGGAUGUUUGGAACCAUUCAGCUGAAGGGGGAGUAUGGGCCCCCCUCUUUUCUAGGCGGCUCAAUGAUUGGGAGGUGGUUUUUGUGGAGUGUUUCUUUCAGAGAUUGCAAGGGAGGAGGGUAUGUUGAUGAUCAGGUGACUGAGACAAAGUCAAAGGAUGAGAAAUUUACUGUCAAAUCCCUCUACAAGGCUUUAGAGCUGAAGAGACAAGGCGCUUCCCAACAGGUAUAAUUUGGAACUCAUGGGUGCCAUCGAGGGUGGGUUUCUUUGCUUAGGAGGCUAUGUGGGAUAAGGUCUUAACCUUGGAUCAUAUUCGGAGGAGAGGGUGACCAUUGGCUAAUAGAUGCUUCCUAUCUGUUAAUCACAUCCUCUUGCACUAUGAUGGGGCAAGGGAUUUAUGGCAUUUAUCUCUAUUUGAGGUGUGAUGGGUCCUCCCUGCCUUAGUUAGAGAGACUUUGUUUAGUUGGCAUGGGUCUUUUGUGGGCAAAAAGCGGAAAAAGGUGUGGCGGAUAGCUCUCUUAUGUCUUUUGUGGACAAUUUGGAAGGAAAUAAACAAUAGGGCAUUCAAGAAUGAGGGGCGAUUGGUCUAAGGGCUUAAACUUUCUUCCCUUUGUAAUCUUUGCACAUGAGCUAAGGUGUAUUCAGUUUCAUGUCCUUCCACCAUUGAUUUUGUGGAUUUGUUGGGCUUUGCUUGAGUGCUGUUUUUUGUUAUUCCCUUUUGUUGGUGGCGCUUUUUGGUGCCCGUUGUAUACUUUCUAUGUACUUUGGGGAACUUUUCUAGAGUGCUUCUUUUUAAUAUACUCCUUUUUGUUUAUCAAAAAAAAAUAAAAUGUGGCAAUGCAUAUGAUAUUGUGUUUCUUAUAGUGUAAAAAAAAUUUACUUGGGCUCAAGUCUCCAACAUCUCUAGGAUGCAUUCCAAUCCUUUUUUCCUCGACAACUACUCUGUUUUGUUAGUCGAAGAGGCCGAAUUUUAUUACCCCAACUCUGGAAAUUAGUGUUGUUGGCCCUCUCCUUUUUUGCUCCCCCCACUCUCUCUCUUUCUCUCUGGGGUUUCAUUUGUAUAUGGCCUGCCAUAGUUCCUUGUUUGAUGUUUAUUUUUAUUCUUGAAUGAUCUGUGUGUGUGCGCACGCACAUGUGUGGUGUGUGUUGUGCAGGGAUUGCCAUAAUUUCUUUAUUUUCCAUUUGUUUUAUUCUUGAAUGAUCUGAAUGGUCCCAUGCUCUUAACAACAAAAUCAAUGCAGAUUUUAAAAUCAAUAAUGGUUCAUAUGGCCACUUGAUGUCCGUUAUAAUUUUUGAAAUUUUAUAAAGUCUAAUACCUUGAGUUUUCUGGUCAAGUUACUUCCAUAUCCAAAUAGCUUGCAGAAAUAUUGGUAUCAUAUUUGCAUAACCUGUGCAUGCUUGCUCCUUUGUAAUCUCAUCUGUGUGUCAAUCUAAAAUUAUUUUAUGAUUUAGUAGCAAUUUAGUAGCUCUUUUGUUUGUUUGUUUGUUUGUGUUUCAAUUUUUUUUUAUCAGUAUGCAUGUUUUUUAUUUUUUAUAUUUUUUACAACAUAUAACCAACAUGAUUGCCAAAUGUGUUUCCUAUUUUAUGAACUGGAAACAAAAACUCAAAACAACUUAUUUCCUGCUACAAAAUAGCAAAAUUAGCAAGUGAACCAAAUUCAAGCUUUGCCUUGGGUGGUUCAGUGAUUGAAAACCGUCCAUCUUGUAAAAUGGUGGAUCAGAAACGAUCCUUGCUCUUUCCAUUCUAUAAAAGAUUUUUAGUGUUUGCUAACCUAAGUAUAUUUCUGAGUUCAGGGGAUGCAAGGUGCAAUGAAUCAGAUGGGUCCCCCAAUGCCGCAAGGCCAUUUUAUGGGCAUGAAUCCAAUGCAUGCAGGAUCCUUACCCACUGGUGGUGUACCUCCUCCCAUUGGAAGUUUCCAGGGUGGGGCUCAAAUGUAUGCACCAGGUGGUUCAUUCAACCGAGCUCCAGCUGGACAAAUGCCAAUGAUGCCCGGGCUGAAUCCCUACCAGGUGAGAUGGACUUUCAUUUAUUGGUGUUAGAAACUGUUUUACCUUUCAUUCUUGGCAAGUAGAGAUAGCUACUAUCAGCUGGCUGAAUUUUUUUUUUUUUUUUUGGUAGCUAGUGUGAGUUUUAUCAUAUUUGUUUCUUAUCCUUAGACUCUUUGAAUGUAGUAUUUUUACCAAAAAGGAAAAAUUUUUGGUAGCUAGGACAAGUCAUUCUUCAUCCUUUAAACUGUUUGAAUGACAUCUACUGGUAGUGGUAAUUUUUAAAUGUGGAAAACUUGGAAAACCAUGCAGUUCACACACAAAACCAUGUGAAAUGAGAUCUGUUAAGACAAUCCAUGUGCUACUGACUGAUUCUUUUCAUGCAAUCCUCUUCUUGUCAUGCAUUUAUCUCCCUUUUGGUUUAUGCCCCUAUAAUUUAUCUGAGAAGAUGUAGGAAAAGGAAAUGGUAUUUGGAAUUCACAAACUGUGUUUUCGACUCCUGGUUGUAAGAUCUGAACUUUUCUAUUUCAUGUCUUCUUUGCAACCAAAUGGAGUAUAAGUUCAAGUUAGAGUUUCGAAUUUUCAUUUGCAUAUUAAAAAAGAAAAGGAAAUUCAAGUUGAGUUUCUCCUUAGUUGCUUAAGAAAUUUGGCUAUUCAAGGGAAUUCCAUCUCCUAAAUGCCAUGAAUCCUUUCCCCCUUUUUUACUUUGAUAUCUUUUUUGCUUGUUUAAUUAGUUUGUUUCUUCAGUUAGAUAAAGGAUUGGGGACAAGAUGAUGUCUAAAAGUGUUCGUUUCUCACAACAGAAGACACUUGUACUGGUUAUCUGCUGAAUGUUUGUGCUCCUGUUCCUUUUUUUUAAUUUUUUUUUAUUUAUGCCAUUUCCUAAUUCUUUUUCCCUUCCUGGUACUUUUCUUGAGAGUAGAUUGAAGGGUAGAAGCUCUUAUUAAAUUUCCAACUCAAAAGCUUCGUACAUGAAAAAGCUUAGACACUUUACUUAGGCCUUACUCUCAACUAAGACUAGACACUUUGAAAGGUAAAAGCUCUUUUUUAAGCUCAAUAAAAGCGUCUAAGCCUAUUUGGUUAAUUUUAUCCAAAGAGAUUAUGACUUAAAAAAGAGCUUAAUAUGGAAACCAGGAAAAUGUCGCUUCUUGUAGGAGCUCAGUUUUGGCUUACAAGUUCUUGCAUGUUUUGUAAAAUUUUUAGGAUACCGAUAUUGCCCUUUAAAAAUUGCGACUUUUAAAGCUAAAGCCAAAAACAGGAACCUAUCAGAAACGAAGCCUUAAUGUAUUAGUGGAAAUUAACUGAAAUAGUUUAUAAUUUAAUCCCUGUUUAUAUGUGUGGGUAGUUUUAACUCAUGAACCUGCACGUCAAACAUGGGGAACGGAGAUCUCUACAGUUAAUUUUCUUUCUGAUAGGCAAAUAAAAAAAUUAUUUUAUGUAUGAAUUCCUUGUGGCAAACAAAGCCGUGUGGAAAGUUUUGGGUCUGGAUUUUCCACUGCAAAAUUCUUGGAUUCUGAUUUGCAUACAUGAGAUUUACAUUCUUAUGUGGCUGGGUUUUCUGAACAGAUAUCAUUUAUAAUGCUGCUGAAUCUAAUUGCUACAUUUUUCUUAUUGCAGACCGGGAAUCCGAAUCCAAGCGGAAGCGGCAUGGGAACACUGCCAUCAAAUAUGGGUCAUCCAUCUGGUAUGGCUCCGCCACCACCACCACCAGGUCCGCCGCCGCAUGGCCAACCAACACAAUAGGACCAUUCAUGUGGGCAAUGCGGCAGUCAGCUGGGACAGAAGGGAAACCAAGAGUUGCUUUCUUUCUCUUUUUUCACUCUCAUCCAUUUUCCAUGGCUUGUAACAGGAUUCUGUUUAUUUUUGUUUGUUCUGUAUUUGCCCAAUUGAUUUCCCUUGUACACAACUAGUUAAAACAGUUGAUGUGAAUUUUAUUUACAACCGCUCCCCCUGGUGAAAAAGAACACUGUUCUUUUCUGCAAUCCAUGGAUUUAGAAGCCUUGAUCAAACGCUUUCUAACAUAUGCUGAUAAACAUCGGUUAUGGAUGAUUGGUUAGAAGAUGCUAUGAGGAUGUUUGGUUUAAAAUUAUUUUAUUUUAUUUUAAUUUAAUUUUUUUCUUUUUUUUUUUGGUCUCAAAAUGGAUAAACAAUACUAAUACUUGAAGAAAAAUAAAAAUAAAUUAAAGUAAAUUACUUGAUUUUAAUGAAAGGGAAAGGUCACGUGACAAAAAUAAUAUUAGGUGGCAAAUUGUGAUGGCGGGUGGAAAACACUAAAAUGAAGGGUAAGAUAGUAGUUUUAGUUUUUGAGAGCUCACAGUUCACAAAAGCGGCUGUCGGCUUGGCUCCUGCCAUCUCCGGUUCAUCUCCUUCCGCCGGCUCAUCGCUCCUCCUCCGCUGGUUUUUCAAUUAUCAGUCGACUGCAAAUGGUAAGAUUUUGAUUCUCUAUUUAUCUCAAGCUUUAGAAUAAAAUUUUAAUUGUUGAUCUGUUCGGUUGCUGAGAAAGACACGGAAAGUAAGAAUUUUGAUUAUUGCACAUACUCCGCCAAUGACCAAUACUCUCCUUUUAAAUCUCAAUUUAAUUUUUUUAUAGCAUUUUGCUUAAUUAAUCCACACGCGUCCUUAUUUUCUUUUUCCAUUCUGGUCUGGUCAGAUUCAGCUCCAGUUGUAGCUAACAUAGCUUUGUCAGGCGCCUAGUUGAAUGAAUCGGUACCGUUUUUGUUCCAUUAUAUUAAAUUAUGGAUCAUUUAUUGUUUAUGUCUAAGAUUUUUGUUUGGAUUGGAUUGGACUGGAUUUGCUGCUGUUGCUCCCUUUGGUUUCCGUGAAAAUGGAGGAAAACUAAAUUAAUUGAUAAAUGAAUGAAAUUAUGUUUAAUUUUUAUGGGACUGCUGGUGAAUUUUUUAGGGUUUUAUUAGGUUCAUCUCUCAUUUUUAUGGGUUUUAUUUUGUUACAUUAAUGGUUUAUUUCCCCUAGAUUCGUUUGGUUUUAGAAUCAAUGCCCUACCUGUCUUAAGAUUUGAUGCAUUGUAUGCAUUAUUGUUAGCAAUUGUUCAGUUUCAUUUUCAGAAAUGUUUCUUUGAGAAGAACACAAACCUCUUUGUAAUGUUUCUGGAUAAUGGCCCAUUCUAGAGAAAUUUUUUAAAUUAAACUCUCUAAAAUUAUGCGGCCAGACCACCAGUGGAACAGUAAAAAGCUUGAGCUCUUAAGCUUGAAUCCUCAUGUUUGGGUCUUGAGAAGGACUCUUCCCAAGACACUUCUUCCACUGGACAAUAACUUCUGAACUGAGAUUUCAAACAUGCGUUUUUCCAUGUCAUUUUUGAAAAAUGAAAAACAGUUUUGGGAAACAGAACUGGUGAAGUCCCCCUUCAUAUUCUUUUGCUGAGUUUCUUAUAGGGUUUUCUUGUUCAUGGAUUUGCAGUUGGGUUGCCAUAUGUUUUCACUUUGGUGUUCUUCCAUGCUAAUAUGAAGAUUGUUUUAGAAGUCUUCAUCCUCUGUUACUUGUUGAUUUUGAUAUGGGUGUGAUUGAGAUAUUUUUGUGCUUUUGAAUUUUGUGUUAUGCUUUUCAAUUGAAAGUACACAUUUGGAAGUGGGUUACAUGGAAAGACCUUGUGAUAUAUCACUAUCAACCUUAACCAUAAUGAUGGAAGAAUAAUGUAACAAUUGUGUUUUCCUUCUUUUUUGUUUUUCUUUUUCUGGUGAUACUGUUGCAUCACUGGGGAGACCUCUGAUUAACAGGAAGGGUUACCCCUUAAAUAGGAUCAUCCCCCAAAAUUUUCAUAGUUGAUUGCUUUCCAGAUCACUCUUUGCAAUGGUAAUAUAGACAUUCUAUGGUGCUUUUGACAGCUUUUGAUACCACUUCUUUUUUAUUAGGGUAGUGACCCUAAAUGAGUCAUGAAUCCUUCAAUGUAGACUCUUGCAUGAGUGGUUUCUGGGAUCAUGCAUGUCUUACAUAACCUUGAUUCUGUUCUUUUAAUCUUCUACUGAAAAAUACCUCAUUUCUUCUUUCAUGAUCAACUCUUUUCAAGGACAAGUCCUUAAAUGUCUUUAAGGGCUAAAAAACCUACUUGCUUUAUGAAAACUCUCUGUAACAAUCUUCUGUAUUUCUAUUCCAUCAAAUAGCCCAUAUGUCUUUACUGCUUUGGGAUUGUUCUUAAUAUACCUUGAAAGAAAAGAUGAAGUGUGGGUUACCUUGGGUGUCUUGUGUCUAGGAGAAGGAAGGAAAAAAAAGAAAAAGAAAAAAAAAGAAAAACCGAAUUUGCAAAAUGUGUGUAAUUACCCAAUAUUUAAAUGCAUAUCAAUUGCCUUAGACAAAAAUUACAAUAUUUUUAGCAGCUGAUUUUAUAGAGUUUUUCAUAUCACCUUUAUAUUGUCUUGGUUUACUCUUUUAAGUGGAUAAUCACUUUGUGUCUACUGUUUGGGCAUUUGGGUUUGGAUAAAAUUUUGGAAUUCCAGCGGUUUAUGAGUUUUGUGAUGAGACGACACACUUUUAUCCAUUUUUAUAGUAUCAUAACAUGGGAUCACCUUAAUAUUUAAUGGGUACCGUCCUAUAAUAUAAUGAGCUUAGGAAAGUACGGAUUCAAAUAGUGUGUUCGAGUUUUUUUUUAUUUCACUUAUGAGGGAUGUAGAAUUCUCUAUGAAAAUUCAAUAAGAUGAUGGAAGGACCACUCAGCAUUAUGUCUCUUGUUCGUACUACCACCACCACCUCAUUUGGGGUUCUCUUUUUAAUUUUAAAAUUGAUGCCUAAUAUAUAUAAAAUAAACUCUAAAUGUCCUUUUUGGCAAUUCAUCAAUACCAAAAGUUUAUUUGUUGUUGGAUAACACAUAAUUACAAAUACUAUGAAAAUAGUGCUUUCGUAUGAUAUCUAAACAUGAACUGCUUCUUCAUAAAACCUCUUCUACUAUUAGUAUUACCAGCAAAAGCGCUACUGACUAAAAGCACUCACCCGAAUCACUUCUGAAUUGGCUUUUCUUUCAUUUUUCUACAGUUGUGAUUUUGCUAUGCUUUGGAUGUUUUCACCAAAAAUUGAGUGAUGUAUUGGAACAUGAUUGUGUGACUUGUGUCCCAUCUACAAAAUUUUCUUUUAUUUUUUUCUACACUAUGGUGGAUGUAGUCAUAAACGGGAAUUCCAUUACAUGUUGUGGAUGUAGCUGUUGGGAUAUUUAUAGGUGAAUGAAAAUUAAGACAUACUGUUUUUUAAUUAGACACAACUCUUCUUAAUGGACACAAUUUGUGUCAAAGGAUAUGUCAAGUAUUUAAGACACAUCUCUUCUAAGAGUCACCAGAAUACCUAUAAAUAGCCCCCCACCCAUGGCAUUUCUCAUUCAUUCCAUCAUCAAUUCUCUCCACUUUUUCUCAUUUCUUCCAAGUGUUUGGUAUUCAAGAGAGUUCAAGUCAUCAAGUGAUUUGCUGUUUCUUGUGAUUUGGAGUGCUACUAUCAUAAGAAAGUGAUCGUUGUAUCCUGGGAGACGAUUGUCAACAAACUGUAAGCACUAGUGCGAGACAAAUUUGUCUUAAGGAUAUAGAGUCAAAAUCUAGCCUCGAUCAACCGUUUGUAAGAUUCAAUAUUUACUUACCUUCUCGUUUAUUUAUUAUACAUAAUUAUUUGACCAUACAUUUGUGAUAAUUCCAAAAUAACAAUCUUAAGACGAAUUUUUUUUUUUAAUCUUUUGCUUAUAUCUGUAUUUUUAAUACAGUUAAUAACAUGGCCUUUACAAAUAUUAUUGAUACCCCUGUUGUUACACCUACUACUACCCAUGGUGAGAAACCAGAGAAAUUCACUAGGUUGGACUUCAAGCGGUGGCAACAAAAGAUGUUGUUUUAUCUCACAACAAUUAACUUGGCCAAAGUGUUGCAUGAAGAUGCACCUACCUUAAAGGAGGGAGAGACUAACAAGCAAAUUGUGGCAGCAGUUGAAGCAUGGAAACAUUCAGAUUUUCUAUGCAAAAAUUACAUCCUUAAUGGACUUGACAACACGAUGUGUAAUGUGUAGAGUCAAGUGAAGACAACCAAGGAGUUGUGGGAGUCUUUGGAGAAGAAAUACAAGACUGAAGAUGCUGGCAUGGAAAAAUUCAUAGUUGGCAGAUUUCUAGAUUACAAAAUGGUUGACUCCUAAACAGUGACAAGCNNNNNNNNNNNNNNNNNNNNNNNNNNNNNNNNNNNNNNNNNNNNNNNNNNNNNNNNNNNNNNNNNNNNNNNNNNNNNNNNNNNNNNNNNNNNNNNNNNNNAAGAUGCCAUUAUAGUGAGUCCUUUCAAGUUGCAGCAAUUGUUGAAAAGUUUUUACCAUCUUGGAAGGACUUCAAGAAUUAUCUGAAACAUAAGCGCAAGGAAAUGGGGCUUGAGGACUUGAUUGUUAGACUGAAAAUUGAGGAAGAUAAUCGUGUCUCUAAGAAGAAAGUGGGAAAAGAUCCCAUGGAGUCCAAGGCAAACUUGGUGGAACCAAAGGCUAAUAAAAAGAGAAAGCACUUUGGUGAAGGUCUAAGUCAAGGGAAGAACAAAUACAAGAAGUUUGCUGGGAAGUGUUACAUUUGCAGUAAGCAAGGCCAUAGGGCCAAGGAUUGUUGCUUGAAAGGAUAAAGUAAGGAAAAUAAAGCACAUGUGACUGAGGAAGAGGAGUUGGCAAACAUGCUUUAUGCAUUGGUACUGUUUUUUUGAGGAGUUGGCAAACAACUUUGCCUGAAGAGGAGUGAGUCUAGGAAUGCAUCAUUUUUUGAAAAUAUUUUUCCGUGUAAAGAAAAGCAAGAAGUAAGUUCAAAUAAGGGAACUUAUGAUACUGCAAAUGGUAAUCAUCAAAAUGAGGAAGAACCAAGACGUAGUAAGAGAGCCAAGAAGACAAAGUCUUUUGGCCUAGAUUAUCUAACUUAUAUGUUAGAUAACGAACCCAAGACAUUCAAGGAAGCAAUGUCAACACCAAAAGCCCCAUUUUGGAAAGAGGCUAUCAAUAGUGAAAUUGAAUCCAUCAUGCAUAACCACACAUGGAAAUUGGUGGAUUUACCACCAGGAAAUAAACCUUUGGGUUGCAAAUGGAUCUUCAAGAAAAAGAUGAAGCCUGAUGGAACAAUAGAUAAGUACAAGGCUAGAUUUGUAGCCAAAGGAUUUAAACAAAAGGAAGGCCUUGAUUUCUUUGAUACAUAUUCACCAGUUACGAGAAUAACAUUUAUUAGAGUGUUAAUUGCAAUCACAACAUUGCAUAAUUUGGAAAUUCAUCAAAUGGAUGUUAAGACAACCUUUUUAAAUGGUGAGUUAGAAGAAGAAAUAUAUAUGGAACAACCUGAAGGGUCUGUUGCUCCUGGACAAGAAAAGAAGGUGUGUAAGCUGAUAAAGUCCCUAUAUGGGCUAAAAUAAACACCAAAACAAUGGCAUGAGAAAUUUAACAAAGUAACGUUGUCAAAUGAUUUUAAAAUUAAUGAAUGUAAUAAAUGUGUAUAUACAAAGAAUACACAAAAUGAGUAUGUCAUUGUGUGCCUAUAUGUGGAUGAUAUGUUAAUUAUUGGUAGCAAUAAUGAUGUCAUUAAAGUUACAAAGAAAAGGCUGACCAGUUAUUUUGAUAUGAAAGAUAUGAGUGUCACAGACGUGAUCUUAGGUAUAAAAAUAGCUAAGACAUCUAGUGGACUAAUAUUUUCUCAAUGUCAUUGCAUUGAGAAAAUUCUUAAAUGGUUUAACCAAUAUGAUGAUAGUCCAAUUAAGACCCCAGUACAUUUAAAUCUACAUUUAGCUAAAAAUAAUGGUCCAGCAAUUGACCAGUUGGAAUAUUCUCGUAUCAUUGGUAGUUUAAUGUAUGUCAUGAACUGCACGCAUCCAUACAUAGCCUACGCAGUUAAUAAACUAAGUAAGUUCACUAAUAAUCCGGGAAAAGACCAUUGGAAGGCGUUGAUUAGGGUUCUUAGAUAUCUAAGAUACACCCUAAACUAUGGACUUCAUUAUUUAAGGUAUCCGAUCGUACUAGAAGGAUAUAGUGAUACAAAUUGGAUAUUUGGUACGAAUGACUCAAAGUCCACAAGUGGAUAUGUAUUCACAAUUGGUGGCGCUGUGAUAUCAUGGAAGUCAUCUAAACAAACAUGUAUUGCAAGAUCAACGAUGGAAUCUGAAUUUAUUGCUUUAGAUAAAAGCAGGGGAAGAAGCAGAAUGAAUUCAUAAUUUUCUAGAAGACAUUCCAUGUUGGCCAAACCCAAUGCCUGCAAUAUGUAUACAUUGUGAUAGCCAAUCAGCGAUUGGAAGGACACAAAAUAGCAUGUACAAUGGUAAGUCUCGACACAUCCGUCGCAGACAUAAUACUAUAAGACAGUUACUUGCAAAUGGAAUUAUUUCCAUUGAUUACGUUAAGUUAAAGGACAACCUGGUGGAUCCACUAACUAAAGGAUUGUCUAGAGAUCAAGUAAACUGCUCAUCGAGAGGAAUGGGAUUAAGGCCUAUCACUAAAGAGUUUCAUAAUGGAAACCCAACCUAGCUGAUUGGAGAUCCCAAGAUCUAGGUUCAAUGAGGACAACUAAAUUAUGAAAUACUCUGUGAAGAGCACUAGGGAAAAAUAAAUUCCCACCCAUUCCUAUGGUGAACUAGUGCUAUACAAAAUGUGUUUAGGAUAAGCUAUGCUUUUAAUGAUUCUAAUAAUUUGAAAGAGUUCAAGUGGAGUAUGGUAGAAUACUCGCCAUAGGAAUCACCAAUGUGAGUGUGAAAUGGGGCCGUUUCUAUGAGAAUUUUUAAGGCUGAAAUUCUCUAAAGCACUCAUUAAACCGGGAAUCGUUCAGGGCUAAAAUAAACACAAUCGUGAGAAUCAUUGGUUAUUCGGAAAGGAAUUGUGUGAAUACUAUUGUCUUGAUUUACAUCAAUAGUUGAACAGUUCAAGACAUCACAUUCACUGAUUAGCUAGUAAAUCCGAUAGUAUUUCACUAAGGAAGGUUCAAAGCUACAAACUACCUAUCCUGAUGCAAUCACUUUCCAAUUUUGUACUCUCUUGAUUGUUUAGUUUUCCAUUUGCCUUUUUUAAGUCAAUUUUCAUUCAUGUGGGGGAUUGUUAGGAUAUUUAUAGGUGAAUGGAAAUUAAGACAUAUCGUUUCAAUUAGACACAACUCUUCCUAAUGGACACAACUUGUGUCAAAGGAUAUGUCAAGUAUUUAAGACACAUCUCUUCUAAGAGUCACCAGAAAACCUAUAAAUAGGGCCCCCCCUCCCCCAUGACAUUUCUCAUUCAUUCCAUCAUCAAUUCUCUGCACUUCUUCUCCUUUCUUCCAAGUGCUUGGUAUUCAAGAGAGUUCAAGUCAUCAAGUGAUUCGUUGUUUCUUGUGAUUUGGAAGAUGAUUGUCAACAAACCAUAAGCACUAGUGUGGGACAAAUUCGUCUUAAGGACAUAGAGUCAAACUCUGGCCUCGAUCAACCGUUUCUAAGAUUCAAUAUUUACUUACCUUCUCGUUUAUUUAUUAUAAAUAAUUUUUUGACCAUACAUUUGUGAUAAUUCCAGAAUAACGGUAGCGACAAAUAGGAAUGACAUUGCCAUUAUAGUAAUAGUAUAUUGGAUGUAGUGAUACACGGGAACACCAUUAUUAUUUUAUUUAUUUAGCAUCAUCAUCAUCAUCAUGUUCUUUUGGAUCAAGUCCAAACUCCUCACAUGUUGGACGCUUUUUUGAGGGUUCUGGGAUCUAAAUUAAAGAUGCAGAUGGUUGUACAUGGUAUAGGCAGCAUUGAAUUAUAUGAACCCCCUCGAUUGCAUCUUAGCCUAUCAAUCUUGCUGAAAUGAAACUUCAGUUGGAUUGGGGACAUAGAGGUAUUUGAUCCAAUUCUUUCCGCCAUAAAAUCUAGAGUGUUGGAAGCCCUGGGUUGUUCUAUUCUAUCAGUCAAUGAGCAAGGUUGGCGACAAGCUUCAAAGCCUCACUGUUCUUCAUGCCACAAUGUGAGGCAGAGUCAUACGAUAAUCUUGUACAGGCGAAUUGGAGAACAGAGCGUUUGAAUAAUAUUGUGUUGUUUGGAGACAGCUUUAGGACAUAUGAACAGCAUGUAUCAGAGUUUAGGAGCUCAACUCUUGUUGAUUCCUCAAGGCAUAUCUUGGCUGUUAGAAAGUUCACGCGUGAAUUUGCAAUCAAGACAGUUUCAGAUGAUUAUUUUGGAGCCUUCCAUGAUUCAAGCUGGCAUUUCUUGAGCCUUGUUGCUUGAGCAGCUUUGCAGUUCACAAGCAAGACUGAAUGAUGAUUGAAAACAAUCUUAUUUCUAAUUUUUCAUUGCAUUCAAAACAAGUUUACUGUUAUCUUAAUACCUGCAACAACCCGGAUCAAGUAGAUUAGUAAUCGACACUAUUUCAAAGUCUGUAUUAUCACUAAUAUGCUCUUGGAGAUGCCUCCAAUCUAUCUUGAUUUCGCACAUUGUUUCUCAUUCAUAUCUAUCACAUUUAUUUCAGAAACAUUUGGGGAGGUUGGCUUCUAGUCCAACCAAUCUACCUAUGCUGAAAGCAACACACAUUUUAUUCAUUACAUGAAAAUAUAUUUUAGUCUUCUCUUGGAAGCCAUAACAACAGCAGAGGAAAUCAUUUCUUGUUGUUCCCAUUUAGAUCGACCAGUAACUGAUGGCCGAAACAUUAGGGCAUCAGCCAGAUUACUAGGUGGGAGGGGAACCGACGAUAUGGGCAGGAUGUCGACACGUCACGUGACCAUGAUGGGCAUGUGGGGAGCAGCUUGGAGAUAUCCCGCCAUCCAAGUGUACAGUUUUAUCUUCUGCAAGAACCCAAACAAGAAAUAACUUUUGCAGGUCUGCAUAAAGUAGGUACAAUAACCGGAAACCCCAUGACCAUGAUUGAGGAAAAGUACUUACCAUAUGGAGCAACUUGGAUCAAUUCCCGCGAUAGGGUUUCCUGAGAAAGGAAGAGAAGUAAAACUGAAAGAAGAAUGCAAAUGGUGGGAGAAACCUUGUGAAACACCAUCUUGUGAGGUUGUAGAGAAAUUGUUGUGCCUUCCUCGACCUUUAAAUAGACUGAGGGAGAGGAGAAAAAAAUGAGUGUGCUUUGAGUGGGAAAAUGGUUCAGAAGAACACCAGUUGACGGAGGACCAUCUAGGAUUCCACUUUCAAGCAUCCUUGCACCUUCCCAAGUCAAAAAAAAAAACAAGUUUCCUUGCACCUUCCCAUGUCAAAGAAAAAAAAAAAGCAAGAAAAUUAUUCUCAGGUCUCCCUUCUAAUAAAUGAACACAGUACUCUGACAGCUACACACUCCCGUUCUUAUCUUUAGUUGCCUUUUUUUUUUUUUUUUUUUCCUUUUUGGUUUUUUCAUCAAUUCUUAGAUAGGACAACAAUUAGUUGUUGGUGAACCAACUUUUUCAAAUGAAGGAGCCCAAAGCAUACAAUAAAGUCCAACAAAACCAUGGCAAAAUCCAAAAGGGAAAAAACUUUUGAAGUUUAGAACAAAUUUCAAUAAAACCACAAACAAUACCAAAGCAGCCUCAAAUCUAUCCACAUAUAGGACUUUUUUGGUAAUUUAAAAAAGUUAUGUUUAAAUUAUUGUAGUAAAAAAAGUUAUUACAAAUAUAUGGUAGUUUUUGCCACCUAUGAGAGAGGAGAUGGAGAGAGGAGAGAGGGUGAACGGAUAAAUUUUUUUUUAAACCAAAAUCAUCUUUUCAAAUUUCAAAAAAUUUUAAAAGGGAAAUCGUUUCUUCAAGAGACGAGUUACAUGAAAAAAAAUAUAUAUAUUUAAAAAAAAAUUCCCAAAUUAAAAAAAAAAAAAAAUUCCUCGAGGAACUCGUCUCUUCAAGAGACGAGUUCCCAUGAAAAAAAUAUAUUUUUUAAAAAAAAAUUCCUCAAGGGAACUCGUCUCUUGAGGAAUCGUUUUUUAAAAUUUUUUUUUAUAAUAAUUUGGGAAUUUUUUUUUUAAUGGGAACUUGUCUCUUGAAGAGACGAGUUCCCUUGAGGAAUUUUUUUUUUUUUUUUUUUUUUUUUUUUUUAAAAUUUGGGAAUUUNNNNNNNNNNNNNNNNNNNNNNNNNNNNNNNNNNNNNNNNNNNNNNNNNNNNNNNNNNNNNNNNNNNNNNNNNNNNNNNNNNNNNNNNNNNNNNNNNNNNAAUUUUUUUUUUUUUUUUUUUUUUUUUUUUUUAAAAUUGGGGAAUUUAAAAAAAAAAAUUUUUUUUUUAUGGGGAAUUCUUUUUUGGAAGGGAGGGGUUCCCUGGGGGAAAGGGUUUUUUUUUUUUUUUUUUUUUUUUUUUUUUUUUAAUUUGGGAUUUUUUAAAAAAAAAUAUAUUUUUUUUCAUGGGAACUCGUCUUGAGGAAUUGUUUUUUUUUUUUUUUUUUUUAAUUUGAGAAUUUUUUUUAAAAAAAAUAUUUUUUUUCAUGGGAACUCAUCUCUUGAAGAGACGAGUUCCCUUGAGGAAUUGUUUUUUUUUUUUUUAAUAAUUUAGAAAUUUUUUAUAUAUAUAUAUAUUUUUUUAAUGGAACUCGUCUCUUGAAGACACGAGUUCCUUGAGGAAUUUUCUUUUACCACUCAAACGUCUUCUUAUUCUCUCUCAUGCGUAAUACCCAUAUUUUUCCUUAACUUUUCCUCCACUCAAAUAUCCUUCCAUCCUCUCUCUUAUGCAUGCAGCCAUAUGUUUUGCUCCCAAACCUAUUUAAUGUGGGGACCACAUGUUUUGCUCUCAAAUCUCUUAAAUAUAUGGUGGUGGGGUGAUUUUCUUUUCUUUGCCAUCUAACCACUCCUAAUAACAAAGUUCCCUUGAGGAAUUUUUUUUUUUUUUUUUAAAUUUGAGAAUUUUUUUAAAUAUAUAUAUAUAUAUUCAUGGAACUCAUCUCUUGAAGAGACGAGUUCCCUUGAGGAAUUGUUUUUUUUUUAUUUUUAUAAUUUGGGAAUUUUUUUUAAAUAUAUAUAUAUAUAUAUAUUAAUGGAACUCAUCUCUUUAAGAGACGAGUUCCCUUGAGGAAUUGUUUUUUUAUUUUUUAUUUAUUUUAUAAUUUAGGAAUUUUUUUAAAUAUAUAUAUAUAUAUUUUUCAUGGAACUCGUCUCUUCAAGAGACGAGUUCCAUUAAGGAUUUUGUUUUUUAAUAAAUGGGGAAUUUUUAAAAAAAUAUAUAUAUAUUUUUUUCAUGUAACUCGUCUCUUGAAGAGACGAAAUCUUUUGAAAUUUGAAAAAAUGAUUUUGAUUUAAAAAAAAAAUUAUCCGUUCACCCUCUCUCCUCUCUCCUAGGUGGCAAAAACUACCAUAUAUUUGUAAUAACUUCUUCUACUACAAUAAUUUAAGCAUUACUUUUUUAAAUUACCGUACUAUUGAGAAAAGUCCUCCACAUAUAACAAUGACGGCUAAUUCAAAAAGAGUUUUCAAAAUAAGGACUUUUGUGAAAGCUUCUUUUAACUUUUUGUUGGUAAUUUUUAUAUGGGUUACAAAAAUUCUAUUGUAUAUUAUCAUAUCUUAUUUUAAAUCUUUACCUUAAAAUAUGUGAUUAAAUUUGAAUUGUGAACAAAAGUAUAAAAGAAAUGAAAAAUAUAAAUAAAUGAGAUUAAUAUACAAAAGAAAUGGAACAUCAAUCUUGAAAAUGAAAGAAUUAUUUAUUUAUAAGCAAAUAAGAGUUAUGUGGCUAGCUAUAUGGUCAUGUUUAAUUAAUUGUCACAAAAAAGUGAUUUUUUAAUACUAUAAAAUAAAUUAUUUUUAUGUCUUUAGCAUAAACAUGAUUAAAUACAACCAAGAAACAACAAUGCGACUUUGUUCAUAUCUUAUUUUGUAAAAUCCAUGUGAAUCAAUCAUAUUAAAUCACAUGUCUAAUAUAUGUCACGUUAUGCCUAAGGCCUUUUAAGCAGUAGGUUUUGGCCUAAUUCUAUAAAAUUUACGGCUAUAUGAGCUAUUUAAUCUUAUUUAUGAAGUGAAGUCCACCCCCUCCCUCCUUCCCCCCACCCCCCACCCACCCACAAUGCAUUCCAUCAUACGUCUACUAAUUAGAAAAUGUGAGUCCACCCCCUCCCUCCUUCCACCAACAACCCCCCCCCCCCCCCAAAGAUUUCCAUCAUANNNNNNNNNNNNNNNNNNNNNNNNNNNNNNNNNNNNNNNNNNNNNNNNNNNNNNNNNNNNNNNNNNNNNNNNNNNNNNNNNNNNNNNNNNNNNNNNNNNNUCUCGCUCUUGAUCUCUAAUAUAUUGACAUAUCCAUAUCCUUCCCAUAUAUCUCUUACAUCACAAUACCAUAUCAUUUGAAUUUGGGCACCAAUCUUCAAACAUAUUCUUGGGUUAUCUGGAUGCCUAUAAAACAUGCAUGGAUGACUUUUUCAGAUGCCCAUAAGACAUGGAUGACUACCUAUAAUGGAUGUUGAGGGGGCUCUCCUAUCAUACCUCUUUGUGAAAGUGACACUAUGUGCACAUGGAAUAACGCCCAUAUGCUAAUACACUUGCAUGAGUUAAGAAUAGAGUUUGGGGAGUCUAAAAUAAUUUAAAAUUCAAAUAGUAAACUAAUUAAUAUUAGAAAUUUAUGGACAAAAUUUGGUCUUAAAUAAUUUUAUUAUUUUUCUAUUACAUGGAAUCCUUAUUUUUAUUUAUUUUUUCUAACCAAAUAAACUCAAAAUUAAACAAGACUUUAUGUAUUGGAUUUAUUAAUGAAUCUAGUAAUUUUUGAAAAUCAAAUAGUGAACCGAUGAAUAAAAAUUUAUUCAUAAUGGCUCUAUUUUUUAUUGCACAUAAUUAUAUUCAUAUAAAUUUUCUCACUAUAAAAAUAAACUUCAAAUUAAAUGUCACUUUGUAUUGAAUUUAUUAAUAAGUUUAACAAUUUUUAAAAAUAAUUUGGAACUUAAAAAAUAGAUCCAAUCAUUGAAAAAAAUAAUAUAUCAAAAUUAAUAUAUUAUGAGUUACGACUUUACUAUUUCUUCUAUACACAUAACUAUGUUUUUUCAAAUUUAGAUAAAUAAAUUAUAAAUUAAGCGAGACAUAAUUAAUAUUUUAAAUUUUUAAUAAAAUAAUUAAUUUUUAAGAAUAAUUUUGAAUUUAAAAAUAAUCGAUUUAAUUGAUCACAGAUUAAAUCAAAAUAUUCUAAAAUAUUAAGUUUGUAAGUCAAUAUUAAAUGUGUACAUGAAAUGAAAAACUUGAUUAAUUUAUAUGUUAAAAAAAUUAAAUUUUAUUCAUUAUUCAUUGUAAAUAAAAUAUUGUUAAAAAUUAUUAUUAUUCAUUAUUAAACAAUGAUGCAACUUUGUUCACUCUCUAUUUUGUAAAAUCUACGUAGAUCAGUCAUAUUGAAUUAUAUGUCUAAUAUAUAUCAAGUGGGUUCCAUCAUAAGAAGACAGAUUACAAAAUGUCACCUAGCUUGGUAUGUAAAAAUAAUACAUCUUCCACAUUACUCUCCAUUAACAUUGAUACUUAGUGCAUCUCAUCCUUGAUCUCCAAUAUAUAGACAAAUCCUGUCAUAUGGCUCUUACGCCAUAGUGUUGUAUUAUUUGAAUUUGAGCUCCAAUCUUUAAACAUAUUCUUGAGUUAUCUGCAUGUCCAUGAAACAUGGAUGCCUUCAUACCUACCUCUUCUGCUAUUAGUACUACCAACAAGAGCUCUACAAGCUAAAAGCACUCACUCGAAUCACUUCCAAACCUCUUUGUAAUGUUUCUGGAUAGUAGCCCAUUCUAGAGAAAUUUUUUAAAUUAAAAUCUCUAAAAUUAUGCAGCCAGACCUCUAGUGGACCAGUCAAAAGCUUGAGCUCUUAAGCAUGAAUCCUCAUGUUUGGGUCUUGAGAAGGAGCCACUUUAUACCAAAAUUCCGGACCUUAGAAGAGGACUCUUCCCAAGACACUGCUUCCACAGGACAAUAACUUCUGUACUGAGAUUUCAAACAUAUUGUAGACUCCGCAUUUCGGCUCAUCUCAAUGCGUUUCCCACUCGAUGGCGAGCUCGAUUUUUAUUUGAAAAAUUGAUUUUUAUUCGAUUAAGAAAAUGAUUUGGAGUCGCCACUUAUUUUUGUUUUAUUUUUAAAGGGUAAACAAAAUAAGAAAGAAAAACCCUAAAUGUGACUCCUUGUUUUGGAAAAGGUGGUCUGUUAAAAACCGGAUCGGGUUCGGGGGUCAGGUUACUUAUCGGGAAGGUACGGUACGGACCGUAGCACCCCUCUAAGUCCCUAAUGUCGGGUCUCUACUAAUAGAAUGAAGCUGACGUGGCAGUCAACAAGAAAAUCGAUGAAUACUCAAAUCGAUCAUGCACAAUAUGAGAAGCAAAACACAUAUAAAGAAUGAGCAAAAUAUGAAUAGAUGCGUACCUGGGCGGCAAUCACGAACGCGCUAUCAUGAAACAUGGUUAGUGAACAAUGAACAUAUAUAAUUAAGCGCAUAUCAAGGAAUAGAGUAAAUCGAUCACAUGUGGCCAAUGAAGCAAACAAUCAGUUAAUCAAUCUUGAAAUCUCAUAUGUAGGGCCCCCACCAAAGCCCAUUUUAUAUUGCAUGAAUUAAUUUCAUAAGUUCCAUUAAUUGGAAUUACAAAAUUGAAUUCAUGUUUUAUUUCAAAACGUUUUAAAAUUAUUGAAAUCAUGAAAAUUGCAUGCCGAGGAAAAUGACGAUGAAUUUUAUUAGAAAGUGGAUUUUUGAAACCUAAAAUUCUACGAAUGAACAAAAAAACUUGGAGUUAAGAUUACUAAAACACUCAAAAUAUUAUUUGAAUAAAAAGAAUUCGGAAAAUUAUUUGAGAAAAGAGAAUAUGGAAACUGCUUUUUAAAAAAAAAUUAAAGAUGAUAAGAUGGGGAAAAUGACACUUGGGUCAAAGGUGGCCAUGCCACGAGUGCUUUCCCGUGAGCUGUCUUCAUAUGAAUGUGGUGCAGCUUCCCUUUGGCUUUAUCUUCAUAACACUUACGUCAAAUAUCCGUGCAAGGGUAAUAAUGGAACACUAUACGUGACCUUAAAUUCAUUUUUCUCAUCUUCUGUACAUCAACGGGAACCUUGCCAAAAGCUUGAGCCACAUCAGUAUAAGACAGAACACCUAAUUCACCACAUAUAUUCCUUAUUUCUUCAACCGUCAUCACCGACAUGAGCCCAGUAUCGGACUGAUUUGCGGACUGCAUUAAAUCAAUAUUAACAUACCCACCAGACCAUGCAAACAUAUAUGUGAUCUCAAAACCUUCCUGUUGUAAAUGAGGGCGAGAGUCACGAACACACUUGUGUUCCAUUUGUGUGGUGAUGACAUGGCGCUGCUUCUCAUUGUAGAAGCGCACGAUGCCUUUGAUGGAGAUGCUGUUGGAUUCAAUGGAGUCAUUCCCAAUGGUUCAGGUAGUAAAAAUCAUAAUCCUCACAUACUUUCUAGGCAAAUAUUCCCCUUUCCAUGAACUGUCAACUGCAUGCUCAGUAUCCUGUUGCUUCCCAAAGGCUUCGCCAGCACUAUCAACUUCAGCAAGCAUCUCAGACGAUAACGAGAUAUAACUUAAGCGUGAACCAUAUGAUUCACACACAAUCACACCCAUAUCGACAUUCAUCCAACCCCUCUGAACACAAACCAUUGACAACCUUUAGCUUUCCAAACCGAUUUGAGAGCUUAAGGAUAGCGGAACACUUUAAUAAAUCUCUUCUCUCCCAGCCAUGUCUGAAUUUCCUUCCACAAGUUCUGCUACAAACCCAGCAUUGACCAAGAAAAGAUUUCAAGUUUGGUGGGCAUCUAAUGAGUAUCGGCAUGGUGGAAAUAUGAAUAGGGACGUGAAAGAUUUAAUGGGUAUAAAAUGGUGAUGGGAAAUGGGUUAGAUAUGAGUAUAGAGAGAUGAUCAGUGGGCAUGAAAAGAAUGGGUACGAAGAACGGGUAUGGUGGGGUAUGGAAUGAGAGAUUUGAUAUGAGUAUAGAGAGAUGGUCAGUGGGUAUGAAAAGAAUGGGUAUGAAAGAUAGAAUGAUGAAGGAUGCGUUUAAUGGGCAUUUUGAAAACCAAAAGUGAAGGCAUGUAGGCGGGUGUGAUUCUGAAGAGAGAACCAUUGGACUUCUUCAGUGGGCGUCGCCGGAGACGAAACUCGCGACUAUUGCUCCUCUGAGCUUCCUUAGCACCACGGAUGGUAUCAGUCAGACCCGAGAUCCUCCUGCAGCAGUGAACAAGGCAUCCAAACACUUGUAUCCUUCUCAAAUAUUCAUUCUGAAUGGUCAAGGUCAGCUAGACUGGAGCAGUUCGGUGAAGACAGCAGCAAGAUUGCACUCACGGCAAGGUGCAAUGGCAUCAGGUUCGUCAGCCAAACAUCAAUCAUAUAUGACAUAAAAAUCACAACUCAGAGCCCAUGAUUUCCGCCAUGAGACGACAUGAAAAUAUCACUCUUCUCAUAAACGAUAUAGUCAAUGGCAGUCAUGAAGGAGACUUUCUCUGAAAAUGGCUGUAGUUCACUAGGCAAGGCAAGGUCCUCCUUAUUGUAGAAAUUAGGAAACUCUUGAGUUAAUGGCAACACGGCUUCUUUCUCGUUGAUCUGUAUAAUAUCCUUAGUGACAAACUGAUCCAGAUCAACCACGGCUGUAGUAUUUCCUCAAGGUACAACUUGAGCAUUACCCUGCUUCCUCCCUAUCCGAGAUCUUUGCGCAAACCCAAACCAUCUGGAGGAGCUUUAUUCAUCCUCAACCCCCAUAAGCUUAGCUCUAUGAUAGCUUUACCAUGAAUCCCUCAGGUAGGGACAUACAGCCUGAUGUAUCACAAGGUAGGAUACCGAGAACAGGGGAAUGGCAAAACAAAACAGAGCACAAACCAAUGAAACCAAUAAAACAACCAGAGCCAUGUUUCAUGUUUAGACAACAGGCUUGGCUAUAGGUGAGUGAUCUAGAAUACGUUCUAUGGAGAUAAGAACAAAAUAAGACACCUAUAUGAUGCAUAGUGAAAACUAAAACAGAGCAGUAUCAUUCUCAAAUCACCCCAAGGAAAAUAGAUGAACUAGCCAUAAUAAAAUCCAUGGACCAAACAGGAAUCGUAAAACUGAACGUAUAAUCGAACAAAUCCACAGAAAAUAUCAAGAAAAAGGGAAUGAGACUAUAGUGUGAUAAAGAAAAUCCAAGGAUACAGGGCAGUCAUACCUCUCUUUUCUUCUUCCUCAAGCUCUCUGUCUUCUCCCAAGGCUCCUCCGGAAUCUUCUUUUCCUUUCGCUUGCAGCCUCCCAACUUUCUUUCUAGCUCCCCAAAAAAAAUAUCUCCCUCCGGUAGCCAAGGCACACCUCUCUCUUGCAGCUCCUCCCAAAAUAUCCUAACUGCAGUACUCCCCAAAAAAAAAACCUCACACAGCUGCCUCUCUCCCUCAGAAAGAACCUCUCCAAAAAUCUCCUCCUCUCUCUAAAGCUCUCUUCUCCACCCAACAAUCUCUGCCGAAACAGCCACCAAAAGCCCCCCUACUACUCUGCAGCCUCUGAAUAUCAAGCUUGCUCCUCCAACAAUCUCUGCAGAAACAGCCACCUCCCCUGCACCCUUCUCCUCAUGCAGCUGGCCACCCCCCCUAACGGAAAACACGCUCUCUUCUUCUAGAAGAAUCCUAUGCCACUUGUUAAACCUCCAUUGGCAUCCUAAAAGCAACAUCUGAUUCCGCACCAGCCUCUCAAGAGAAGACACGUGGUGGAGCAAAGCUCUUCCACGUGGCAAAAUGAGCAGUUGCUAGAAUGGCCCCAAAUGGGGGGUCUACACAUAUGCUUUUCCAUUUCAUUUUCAAAAAAUGAAAAACAGGUUUGGGAAACAGAACCGGUGAAGCCUCCCUUAAUAUUCUCUUGCUGAGUUCUCUGUAGGGUUUUCUUGUUCAUGGAUUUGCAUUUGGGUUGUCAUAUGUGUUUGCUUUGGUAUUCUUCCAUGCUAAAAUGGAGAAUGUUUCAGAAGUCUUCAUCCUCUGUUAGUUGUUGUUGAUUUUGAGGUGGGUGAUCGAGAUGUUUUUGUGCUUUUGAAUUUGUGAUGUGCUUUUCAAUUGAACCUAUACGUUUGGGAGUGGGUUACAUGGAAGGACCUUGUGUGAUAUCACUACCAACCUUUUUUAUUUAGAAAUUAGCCAUGAUGAUGAAAGAAUAGUAUAACAAUUGUGUUGUCCUCCAUUUUUGUUUUCCUUUUUCUGGUGAUACUGUUGCAUCAUUGGGUAGACCCCUAAUUAACACAGAGAGUUAACCCCUACAUAGGAUCAUCCCCCAAAAUUUACAUCGUUGAUUGCUUUCCAAAUCACUCUUUGAAAUGGCAAUAUGGACAUGAUAUGACGCUUUUGACAGCUUCUGAUACCGCUUCUUUUUUAUCGGGGUAGUGACCCUAAAUGAGUCAUGAAUCCUUCAAUGUAGACUCUGCCUGAGUGGUUUCUAGGAUCAUGCAUAUGUUUUACAUAACCUUGAUUUUGUGCUUCGUGUACUGAAUAAUACCUCAUUUCUUCUUUGACAAUAAUUUCUUUUCAAGUAUAAGUCUUUAAUGCAAUGUUAUCAAAGGCAAUCGCUUGGGUUGCCUAGAAAAUAAAGUCGCCUCUUGAAAACCCAAACAAGGCGGUUUCAAAGAGGCGACACCUAGGCAGUCGCCUUGGGAUAAGACACAAGGUAUAGAGGUGAUCGCUUUUGAUUAUGAGUUAAGAUUUAACAUACUUUGAUUGAAAUUUCAUUCAAUCUAAUAUAAAAUGAAAUAUUAUAUUAUCAGUCAUAGUGAUAAUGAGAUGGAAAGCUAUUAAUCUAGUUUCGAUGGAAGUAAUGACAAUUUUAAUUUCAAUUAUGACCAUAAUAAUGAUGCCCAAAGUUUCUCUAUGAUGUUCAUUCCCUUAUUUUGUUUUAUAAUACAAUUUUUAGUAGUUUGAAAAAGUAGAAUAUGUAUUUAAAUAGGAUGGAUAUCUCUAAACAAUAUAAUGUUUCUUAUGAUGUAGGAUAUAAUAUUUAACAUUUUGAAUAAUUAUUACUAUUUUGUUAAUUUAAUAAGAUAUCAUGAGGGAUGAAAAAUUAAUAGUGUAAUAGAUUGUUGAAGAUGACGUUUAUAUUGGUUAAGUAUCAAAUAGGUAAAUGUAUGUAUAUUUUUUUAUUGUUUUACUAUAGUUAGACUGUAGCCUUAUUUUUUGUCUUUCACCUUGGGUGAAAAAGAGUUUUAUUGCCUUGGCAUUGCCUUAUGCUUUUGACAAUAUUGCUUUAAUAUCUUCAAAGACUAAAAAGCCUAUUUGGUUUGUGAAAACACACAGCAACAAUUUUCUGUAUUUAUAUUCCAUCAAAUUAUCUAUAUGCCUUUGCUUUGGGGUUGUUCUUAAUAUACCUUGAAAGUAAAGAGAUAGUAUGGGUUGCCUUGGUUUUCUUUGUGCCUAAGAGAAGGAAGCAACAAGAGAAAAAAAAACAACCAUAUAUUGCAAAAAGUGGUGCAAUUACCCGAUAUUUUAAUGCAUAUCAAUGGCCGUAUACAAGCACUUACAAUAUAUUUAGAAGUUGAUUUUAUUGAGUUUUUCAUAUCACCUUUAUGUUGUCUUACUUUGCUGUUUUAAGUGGAUAACUUUGUAUAAAUGUUGGAGUUCCAGUGGUUUAUGAGUCUUGUGAUGAGACCACACUCUUUUAUCCAUUUUUAUAGUAUCAUAACAUGGGAUCACCUUAAUAUUUUUAUUGUAAAGUAUGGAUUCAAAUAGUAUGUGUUUGAGUUUUUUUGUUUUUUCAAUUUAAAGGGAAGUAGAUUUUGUAGGGACCCCUCCCCUUGGGAAACACGUGGCACGCAGCUCAUAGUGACGCGUGGCACGUGUUAUCAGCCGGACCAUCAUCAUCCGGAUUCCCUUAAGGAUAUGCAUGGUGCAGUUAUCCUAUCCGGACCGCUUCAAGGAAAGGCAAACGACGUUUCAUCUUCUCCUAUCCAAGGAAGAGCAAACGACGCUGGCAGAGCGUACACAUCCGGAUAGCCUCCACAACACAUCCGGAUAAUCAGCAUGAGCCAUCCGGAUAUAAAUCUUCUGGAUGGUCAAUUAAAGUAAAGCGAGUCUUACACGCAAUCACAACAAGCAGCCAUGGCCCACAUCCCAUCACCUGCAGAAUGAGAAGACAAGAGGAAGUGACAGCAAGUCACUUCCCACGAUCAUUCUGCAUAAUCGCUUCCCACGAUCUCUGACGGCCGCAUCACCUACCAUAGUCUCUGACAGCCAUUCGUAGGAUGAUAGUGCUCCUACUAACACCUAUUGUCAUCAUCACAACAGAAAAGAUCUCCUCACCAUUAAUGAGAGGAACAGUACCCCUGAAGCUGGAUAUAUAUACCUUCGCACGAAGAAGAAAAGGGGACCUCCUGGUAAUCUCUUGAUACCUAGAAAAAGGCCAACUGAUUUAUAUAUCUCUUUCUCACCAUGGCUAACAAAACCAUCGGAGGGUGCGUCCGGACACCCUGUCCGGAUGCCUUUUGCAGGUGCAACCACUGAAUCAAGAACCCCUUGUGUGUUGAGAAUCACGUAUCCAUCCAUAUAGCAGCAACGUGGACCAUCGGGUACGCGAGGCGACAACAUUGGCGCCGUCUGUGGGAAACUUCUACUUUUUAUUUUGAUUCAGUCACUAGCAAAGAUGGCCACACCUUCCCAAAGUCGAUCAUCUGGUAGAGAGGAAGAAGAUAAUUACGAAUGGCGUCAAGCCAUCGAAAAAAGACAGUUGGCGAGCGAAAAACAGCUAAAAGCUCUCCUCCAGGAGACGGAGAGGUUAAGGGAAGAAAACGCUGUGUUACGCAUUCAAGCCUCAACAUCAGGACCUCCUCGUCGUCAGCGCUCAAAAGGCCAGGUGGCAAACUCAAAGCCAGAGCCAGAAUCAAUAUAUCCUGGGUCAACAGGAGCUAUCCCAGGAACGUACAACGCAAGGCCCUAUGAGCCACGCACACCCAUGCCUCGAGCUCCCCGUGAGGAAAGCUCAGAUUCCACUCAUUUCUCAGCAAAAAGACAGCGUGAUAGAAAAUCACAGUUGUCAAGUUCUAUGCGCGCAAGACUAGGCCCACAAGAGCCUGGGAGAUCAAGGCCACCAGCAGCCACAACCCGGGCGCCACGCCCCGAUCCUAUGAUCGCUCCCAUGGUGCAGAACGUACCUCCGCAUCGUGACCCCAUGGUCACCCCAGCGAUGCGGAACGUUCACUCACACCUAGCGGAACGACCAGCUGGGAGAAACCUUCCAAACGAGCCACCCAUUGGCUCCAUCAGCAAAAGGCUGGAUGACAUGCUCUCCACGCCCUUUUGCUCUCAUAUCACUCAUUACGAACCCCCAAGGGGAUUCCUCGUACCGAAGUUUUCCACAUAUGAUGGGACCAACGACCCCUUCGAUCACAUCAUGCACUAUCGACAGCUUAUGACGCUCGAUAUUGGNNNNNNNNNNNNNNNNNNNNNNNNNNNNNNNNNNNNNNNNNNNNNNNNNNNNNNNNNNNNNNNNNNNNNNNNNNNNNNNNNNNNNNNNNNNNNNNNNNNNNNNNNNNNNNNNNNNNNNNNNNNNNNNNNNNNNNNNNNNNNNNNNNCAUGCACUAUCGACAGCUUAUGACGCUCGAUAUUGGCAACGAUGCAUUGUUAUGCAAAGUAUUCCCCGCCAGCCUUCAAGGGCAGGCCCUCUCAUGGUUUCAUCGCCUACCUCCUAACUCUAUUGACAAUUUCAGGGACCUCUCUGAAGCAUUCGUGGGACAGUACUUGUGCUCUGCUCGACACAAGCAGAAUAUCAGCACCCUCCAGAACAUAAAAAUGAGAGACAACGAAUCAUUGAGGGAAUUUGUGAAACGAUUUGGCCAAGCCGUACUCCAAAUAGAGGUUUGCAGCAUGGAUGCU